rnacentral:lncRNA from 1 species
UCGACGUGCUGUACCGAGCUUAUAGAUCGUUGGGAGAACAAGAUCGCUGGUUCUGACGGAUCAUAUGAACUGGAUAUCUGGCCGGAGUUUCAGAACCUCACAGGAGACGUGAUCUCCCGCACAGCAUUCGGCAGCAGCUUCAUGGAAGGGCGAAGGAUCUUCCAACUUCAGGGCGAGCAAGCAGAGCGGCUAAUCAAGGCCUUCCAAUAUAUGUACAUCCCAGGCUUCAUGUAAGAACUUUAUGAUCUGUCACAUGGUAUAGUAACUCUAGUACAUUAAAGGUCAUCACAUUCACAUGUGUGCGCUCAUGCCGAUAUAAUAUAAUUAUAUAUGCAGAUUCUUCCCGACACAGAACAAUCGGAGGAUGAAAGAAAUCAACAGAGAAAUUGAAGGGACUCUAAGGGGCAUGAUUGAGAAGAGGGAGCGCGCAAUCGAGAACGGUGAAACCAGCGGCAACGACUUGCUCGGCUUGCUGCUGCAGUCGAACAUGGAUAGCGGGAAAGGCAGCCUGAGAAUGAGCACCGAGGACGUGAUUGAGGAGUGCAAGCUCUUCUACUUCGCAGGGAUGGAAACCACGUCGGUGUUGCUCACGUGGACGCUCGUCAUUCUAGGCAUGCACCCUGAGUGGCAGGACCGCGCGAGGGAGGAGGUCCUCAGCGUGUUCGGUAGGGACAAGCAGCCCAAUUUUGAUGGACUAGGUCGACUCAAAACGGCAAGUGUUUCUUUAUUACAAUACCAUGUAUACAUGUUUGCUCCAAGCCUAUAUUACCUGCUAACAUUGUCUAUACCUAAAUGAUAUCCAGGUGACGAUGAUACUAUAUGAGGUGCUCAGGUUGUACCCACCGGCAGUGACCCUAAACCGAAGAACAUUCAAAGACAUGCAGAUUGGAGGCAUCACAUACCCUGCAGGGGUAAUCCUUGAGCUUCCCAUAAUCGCCGUCCACCACAAUCCUCACAUCUGGGGGAAGGACGCACAUGAGUUCAAGCCAGAGAGGUUCGCUGAGGGGAUCUCAAAGGCGACCAAGGACCAACCUGCGUUCUUCCCGUUCGGAUGGGGGCCGCGGAUCUGCAUUGGGCAGAACUUUGCGUUGCUUGAGGCCAAGAUAGCCUUGAGCAUGAUCCUCCAACGCUUUGAAUUCCAACUGUCGCCUUCAUACACGCAUGCACCCUACACGGUCAUUACGCUGCAUCCUCAGCAUGGUGCGCCAAUUAUAUUCAAGAAGAUCUGAUCGUCUUAUAUGACAUUGUCGAUCGUUACCAAUAAGUAUGUCACAGUGAAAAAAUAAUAGUUUUGUAUGAGUACAGUAAUAUUAGAGAGUUUAAUUUUGUGUAUCUGAAUUUUGAGGUGGAACUAAACGGCAGGAGAUAUAUUGCUUGUUGUAAACCUCCAGGUCAAGAUACAGUCCAACCAAUAUGUGCACAUGCUCUAAUAAAAAUCACUAUGUGCAUAUAAGGUAAACAGUAGUAAACGUAGGAUUGAAACUAGCUUAGCUGUCCUUUUCUAAUGUUUCAAUCAGCUUGUUCAUCAAAUUCUUUCAGCGUUCAAAUUCAUAUCAACGUUGAAAAGUGCGAAGGUUGUAAUAAAAAGCCCGCUAAGAGUGCGAAGGUUGUAACAGGAGUCCUGAUAAAAACCUCUGAUCUUUAUUCAUGAUGUCAGUACGUGCAUCAAUUAUUUACAUCAAAAAAGGAAAAACAAAAACUUAACCCAGCAUCCUUCGUCGCCAGAAUGCCGGAGGUUCUAAGAGUCUCGUACAAUUCUUAAGUAUGAAUCUGGUACAAACCUAAAUUCAUCACAGUAAUCACGAGCAAGAAACUCGACCAAGCCAUCAACACUACGCGUAGGACACAUAUGACGCCACCAAUCAAUCAGCCAGCCCCUCGCAUACAAAUCCCCGCGUUUGAAUGUCACCGGGGUAACAUAGCUUCCUUCGACAAAGUUCGAAGGAAGGACAUCAUGCCUGGGAGGAGGUCUAACAACCUGCACCAAAAAGAUAAACCAAUUUUUCACCUCAACCAAACGAAGGAUACGACUAAAACGUAAGAUGAGGUUUUCGAACCUCCCGACGCCCAGGAAGGAAACACUCUGCCAGAACUUCGGGAUCCUCCGGCAACUAGCAUAUACCGUCAUCCUCACCAAAAAUACGAAGGAUCGGGUACGAUGAUUGCAGAAAUGUAUCAAACUAAAUCAGAGCAGGAAAUACACACAACCUAAGACAAAAAAUAGAGAAGCAAAUAACUACCUAAGCCGGAGGUCAAGACCCUCGGUACGCAAGCGACCGGAGGAAAUCAGAUCGCUCAUCAUCAAUAUCAAACUCCACAAAGUUGAACAUAUCAACUACACUAAGGUUAGGAAAGGCAGUUCGCCAAUAUUCCCACAAGUCUCCCAAUACAUAAAUCCCGUUAAAAAAGAUGGAAAGCGGAGCUUCGCAAAGAUCCUGCGCAGGUCCUCUGCUAGAGACCUGCGCACGACAAAACGUAAAAUAAAAAACUCAUUCAAAACAACGCAAGUAUAUUACAUAAUCAACAUUUCAUUACAAACUCAUUCAACCUUCGCCCCUUUUUUACAAAAAGCGUCACACAGAAGCUGACGCAAAAAACUAAAAAACACCUACAAACUAAAAACCCUCACACCUGAGGCGGAGGAGGCGCAGGAGCUUCGGGUCCCUCCAAAACCUUGGCAUCGGACCCCUCUGGAGCCUUGGCGCCAGCUUCAGGAACCUCCGCAUCAGCCUGGGUCGAAGGACGUGCUUCGCUAGGAGGACGCGAGGGGCCGGCCUUGUCAACCUUAGCUUUCUUCUUGGCAACCUCCUGUGAAACCAUAAACUUGAGAGACAGAGAAAAGUAGCAACACAAUACGCAAAGGAUAACAAAAAAUAUAUGUACCUCAGCGCGGCGAGCCUCCGCCAUCUUCUUCGCCUCAGCCCGCCCAAACCUAAUUCAAAAAGAACUUAUAAAGUCCCGGACAGAUUUGCGCAGGCUAGAGGUGCCUUCGCCAACAUCCUCCGCCGAGGCGAACUCUUCCUUUGUAACCGCCUCGGCGUGAGAGCAACCUCCACGACGCAAAAGCCUAGCGAAGGAGCUAACCGCAGCCAAAGCCCCAAAAUCAACUGCUCCUCCGACAAAGUCAGAGAGCAUGCUGAUAUGAGACUUGAGCCAUGCAAGGCUAGCCCCAACAUCACCAUUGGGAGGAGGAGCGGAGGUGCUACCUCCGAACUGCGCCAGCGAGCCGGAGUAGAGACCGAUGACAGCCGCAGCCUCCGCCUCCGCCUUCUGCAUGCGGGUCUGCACUGCAGCUGCAGACGUUCGCUCAGCGUCAAGCUCCUUGCGGAGGCGGUCAGCAAUGUCCUUGGCCUUCUUGGCCCGCUGCACGGCCAAGUCUUUAGCUUUCUCCGCCUCAGUAGCGCUCGCGCGAAGGACAACUACCGAAGCUUCAGCAUCCUCUUUCUCCUUCUUGAAAGCCUCCGACCAGGCCUUCAGCUGAUCCCUCUCCACCCUCAGCUCCUCAACCUCCUGUCGGAUCGAAGAAAAGCCCUGAACUUCCUCCGACAGGCGGGCCUUCUCAGCUUCCAAGGUUUCAUUUUCCUUCUUCAAAGCCUCAAUGGCCUCAUCGCGGUAGAUAACCUCUCGGGAGCAUCGCUCCUCCAAGGCAGCAGCCAUAUGGUGACCCUGUUCAAAGCAACACAAAUCAAACCUCCGAAUGGAAAUUCACAAAGGAAAAAGAAGAAAGGUCAAAACUUACAAGGCUAUGGUGCUCAAACUGCACGCGAAGAAAGGUAUCAAAGUCCAUAUGGCGAAGCUUCCGACGAAAACGAUCUGUAGAACAAAAGAGGUAAGGAAAAACAUAAGACAAAAUAAAUGUUAUCGACAGCGGAGGCCAGAAACGAACCUCCGACCAAAGAAUGAACCUCACGGAGUGCGUCGGUCCAACCUGUGAUCAAAGGAUCAGAAGCACCUGCGCAAAACCAAAAGCAACCUUAGCACCAACCACAAAUAACCAAUUCACUAAAAUAAACAAAAACGAAAAAAUGUUUACAACUUACCGGGACCAAGAAUAUUAGCGGGCGAAGGCCUGCUAGCCAACGCAGAGGGCGCAAGAUCGCGAGGCGGAGGAACAGCAAGGCCUUCCUGCGCGAUGCUGGCACCUUUAGCCAGUUCCUCCGCGCUAGCCAGCCCCACAAUAACAUCCUCUGAAAAAUAUACAAAAAGUAUAAGACCAAGACAAUCAAAGCAUGUAGAAAUAUCAGAACCAACCAAACAAAAAAAUUACCCAUAUACAGCGAAUUUAUCCCAUCUCCAUCUGGCCGUGGGGGAUCCUCCACCUUCCUUAUCCUCCGAACAGAAGCAGAUUCAGCUUCGUCACUGGACUCCUCCUGCCCCUCCUUCGGCGGAGAUUCUCCUCCAGCAGAAGCUUCCCGCGCAGAACUCGCACGAGGGGCCUCCGCGUCAGAGGAAUCCUCACCAAGAAGCGAGGCGAAGGGCACACGGACAGACGAAACCGCGCGGGAGACCUCAACUUGAAGACCUCCAGUCACAGGAGCAGCCUUCAGGACCUCCGCCGGCUGAGACUCCACCGAAUUCGACUCGGCAGCGGAGGAGCGGGCGGAGGAUGACCCCACAGGAGUGUCCAGCACAACCUCCGCCUUGCGCUUCUUCGCAAGCGUCUUAGCAACACCACCUCCCUUCCUCUUCUUUGACUCGGCAGCAGCAACAGCCUUGGAGGAAUCCUUCUUCUUCUCCAAACCGAGCGGCACAUCCGAAGGAACGACGUACUCAUUGUACUCGAUCCCCAGCUCUUCAAAAAUGCGAUUAAAACGCGGCAUCGUCCCCAACGUAGAUUUCCUCUGGAGAUACUCCUUCUCCGAAAUUUUUCCAACGAUCCUUCGGGCAGAAACCUCCACGCGGUUGAGGAAUGACUCCUUCGUCUCACCCUCCGGCAAAGCCGCGCGGAAGCGGGGAAAUGGUAACCCCUCCGGAGGGCCAAACACUGGCACUUGUACCAUUUCAAUGGUAAACUCAUCGGUCCGGCGGCUAAGGGGCCAGUAAUCAGCAGCGACCAUCUCUUCAACCAAAUCACGACCUCCAGAGAAGCGGCAGGCCAGUGCGAAGGCCUGGUCGCAGGCCCUGCGUUCCUCCGACAUCGGCAUCGAAGGAUCAAACUUGUAGACAGGCUUGAGCUCCUUCAUUUUUGAUGCGUACGGAUAAACCUUGUCAACCCAACCAUCAUCCAAAGUCUUCGACGUAGCAGGAGUCCUCACAUAAAACCAAGCCCUCAUCCAAUCCUUCUCCCACUUUCCCUUUUGGCAAAAGGAAAUCUCACACCGCGCUCUAGGCAUCGUGCGGCGCGGCAUGAACGCGCAGCUUCCAAACUAUGCGAUGCAUUCCUCUCCUUCGGCAUUCUUAACCUUCUUAGGCUACCGUUGGAGGUCAAAAUAGGAACAGAAAGUGUCAAUGUGUGGCACCGCGCCGUAGGAUUCACACGCCCACGCAAACUUGCUGAGGGUAAGAAUCCCAUUCGGGCUGAAGUGCUGCAACUCCACAUUGAAAGCCUCCAUCACGUGGCGGAGGAAAUGGUACGGAGGCAUCCGGAGUCCGCAGGUGAAAAAAUCUCUGAAAACCACGGCGUACUCCUCCUCAGGCGCAGGCACCGUCUGGCCCGCAGGAGGAGCCUUCGCAUGGCCAUCCUUGAAGAAACCAACUUCAACCAUAUCCGCAAUAUCCUCCGGCCUUACAGUUGACUCCCCAAACUCAAAAGUGAUCGCAGCCAUCGCCUCGAACUCCUUCGCACUAAUCAAGUCCCCAACAGAAGCCUCAACGUCGGACAGAGUUUCCUCCAGAUCUUGAGCAGCAGCCACCUCAAGCAUCCAAUCUUCGAACCUCCGCAGCCAACCUCCUGACCUCACGCGCAGAAAAUCCCGCAGAGGACUAGAAAAAUCAGCCCUCAAAGGACGAGGCGAAGGAAGGAAAGCCACCUUAGAACCUCCGCAAUCACUUAGAACUAAACCAAACAAAACCCAACUACAGCACACGCAGGCAACCAAGAGGCUAAGCAAUAAACUAGCGAAGGAAGCUGGGCAGGCAAUGAACGGCAAGGGGUGAGGACUCACGUCUCCCCCGCACCCCCUUUUAUAGGGGGGCCUGCGGACGGGCGACCGUUGCGAUUCCCAGCGUACAACGGCUAUAAGCGGAGGACUCGGACUGACCGUUACGAUUCCCCACCCCCAACGGCUACCAACGAAAAAUUAGCGAAGACCAACGGCUAGCUGCGCGUAUAUCGCCAUCCGUUUAACGGAUAUCAACUAUCCGUACAGUUGGUGCAGUAGCUUGGGGGGCCGCGUACAGCCGCGCAGAGCCAGAGUGACGGAGUUACCAUGUGCCGUAAAAUAAUACUAAACUAUCCUUAAUUACUUUUUAGAAUCUAAAUAAAAUAAUUUUCAAAGGGGGAACCACUGGUUCCUCCCAAAGCAGUGUAACAAAGCUCUAAUAGAAACAUCUGAUCUUUACUUUGGUAGACUCUAAUCAUUAUUUCUAUAAUAAUUAUUUGAUCUAUUGGAAUUUAUAAAAAUAAUUGCCAAUCUUUGCCAUUAUGAAAAAUACUUAAAGUAACCCCCAAUUGUGCAUAUAAAUUAUCAACCUCUGCCGUUACGAAAGAUAAUUCAAAAUAACUCCUUACUUAUUAUUAUGAAAAAUAAUUUAACAUAACCCCCUAAAUUUGUAUCUAAAUUACCCAUUUUUUCAUUAUAAAACGUAAUUCAUUGUAACCCCCUCACAUUACACCUAAAUUACCCAACUCUCUUAAAUAUAUAUAUCUAAAUACUAAUAUAUGCUAUUAGAAAAAUCUAUAUUCAUAAAGUAUGAGACAUAUAUAUAUAUAUAUAUAUAUAUAUAUAUAUAUAUAUAUAUAAACUACAAACUUUUAGAAAUAUGAAAUUAAGUAAUGAAAAUGCUAUGUUUGACCAUGUAAAUGCAAGAGAUAUGUAUUCCUUAUUACAAACUUCAUGCAUGUACUCCCUUUGAAUUAACAAACCAUAACACCGACAAUUCCAUAUAGUAAAUGUUUAAUUAACAAACCAUAUAGCAAUAACAUAACACCGACAAUUCCCUUUGAAUUAUAUCUGUUGGGGAGAGGCUCUCCGCACUCCCCAGCAGUACGGUGAAUCGUGAACCUUCUCACUCGGUGCCGUGAGAGGUUUGAGCUCCAACGGACAGUAGGCUCGACAGUAGGUGAAAAUAGUGAAUGCUCUCUCCCUCUUUUAUUAAUGUCGGCGUGCUCCUUUUAUAGGGCUCGGAAACCGACCUAAGACAGUUACAGAUAUGCCCCGUGACGGUGGGGGAAUAUUCCAGCAUAUUCGUACAUCACAGUCUGCUGAUCCUAAGUUACUUGCGUAAUUUCACACUACAGGCUCUCCACGCGCUCCUCGUUCGGGGCUUCAGACUGUCGAACGCUCGUAUCCUUCGCCCGGCAGUCGAUCCUUCGACUCUUCCGCGUCGAAGGUUCCCUGAGCCGGCUGAGUCGGAGGUUGCUCGGGUUGGCCACCUCGGAGGCCGCUCGGCUCAGAUGCGCCGGAGGUUUAUCUCCUCCGCCGCAUCUCCCAAACAUCCUUCGCCAUAGGAAAGCUCGAAGGUUCCCCCCUUCUUCGCCCGCAGAUCUCCGCCGGUGCUCCAGUCCCUGCAUAUGCUCAACAUAGCGAGAGUCAUGUCAACGUUAGCCUUUCUCAGGGUCCUCCGCAUGCAUCUGCACGGAGGUUUCCUGGGUGGAGGAUAGCCUUAGACGCUACCAGGUCGGAGGUUACUCGGGUGAAGGAUAACCUCAGACGCUACCAGGGGGAAGGAUGCGGCCAUUUCCCAACAGUUCCCCCCUUUUUGGGCUAAUGGCACUCUUGCGGUCCAUGUGCUCAAAAACAUGCCACGUUGCGGAGGCUGCGAGCAUGGUUGCUGCCUUCCCCCCUGGUGCGCAGGAUGUGUUUGUUAGCGUCUUCGAAAAAAUAUUUCUUUUACCUAGCCAUUUGUUUUGACAGGAUCCUUCGAUCAUUGUUGUUUCUGAUAGGCUGUUAUCCUUCGCGCGUUAGAGUGCGAAGGGUAUUAUAGCCGUUGGAGUUAGCCGUUUGGGCUGGUGAAUCGCAACGGUCAGGCCGAGUCCUCCGCUUUUAGCCGUUGGGCGCGGGGAAUCGCAACGGCCGCGCGGUCGCAGGCCCCCCCCUAUAAAAAGGGAUGCUGGGGGGGCUCUGAGCUCUCACCCCUGCCGCUCAUUUCCUGCACAUUUUCCUUCGCCACAUUUUGCUUUCUGAGUUGCUCGCACCGCUCGCGUGUGUUAUUGCUGUGUUUAGUCGGAGGGUCUACGGUGGCUCAUCUUCCUCCGCCGCGUCCUUCGAGGUCAGAUUUUUCUGGUCCUUUGCGAGAUUUUCUUAGUGUAAGGUCUGGGGGUUGGCUGCGGAGGUUUGAGGAGUGGAUGCUUGAGGUGGCAGCAGCUCAAGACCUGGAGGAGACGUUGUCCGACGUCGAAGCUUCUGUUGGUGAUCUGAUCAGCGCGAAGGAGUUUGAGGAGAUGGCUGCAAUUACCUUUGAGUUUGGGGAGUCGACAGUGAGGACGGAGGAUAUCGCUGACAUGGUUGAAGCGCGGUUUUUCAAGGAUGGCCGCGCGAAGGCUCCUCCUGCGGGUCAGACGGGGCCUGCGCCUGAAGAGGGUUAUGCUGUUGUAUUCAGGGACUUUUUUACCUGCGGACUUCGGAUGCCUCCGUACCAUUUCCUUCGCGAGGUGAUGGAGAGCUUCAACAUUGAGCUACAGCAUUUCAGCCCCAAUGGGAUACUGACCCUUAGCAAGUUUUCAUGGGCAUGUGAAUCCUACGGAGCCAUGCCCCACAUUGACACUUUUUGCUCAUAUUUCGAACUUCAGCGCCAGCCUAAGAAGGUGAGGGAUGCCGAAGGUGUUGAGUGCAUUGCGCAGUUUGGAAGCUGCACGUUCAUGCCGCGCCGCACAAUGCCUGGGCCAAGGUGCGAGAUCUCCUACUGCCAAAAGGGCAAGUGGGAGAAGGAUUGGAUGAGAGCCUGGUUCUACGUGAAGACCCCCGCUGCGUCGAGGACUUUGGAUGAUGGUAGCGUUGAUAAGGUUUACCCUUACGCAUCCUUGAUGAAGGAUUUGAAGCCUGUCUCGAAGGUUGAUCCUUCGAAACCGGUGUCGGAGGAGCAGCUUGGGGCGCGAUUGGCCUGCGACAAGGCCUUUGCGCUGGCUUGCCGAUACUCCGGAGGUCGGGACCUGGUCGAGGAGAUGGUUGCAGCCGACUACUGGCCCCUUGGCCGCAGGACUGACGAGUUCACCAUUGAAAUGGUGCAAGUACCGGUCUUUGGUCCUCCGGAGGGGUUGCCGUUUCCUCGAUUUGGCGCGGGUUUGCCGGAGGAUGAGACGAAGGAAUCUUUUCUUGACCGCGUGGAGGUUUAUGCUCGGAGGAUCGUUGGAAAGAUCUCAGAGAAGGAAUACCUCCAACGGAAGUCCGCACUUGGGACUAUGCCGCGUUUCAAUCGCGUUUUUGAAGAGUUGGGGAUCGAGUAUGAGGAUUAUGCCGUUCCUCCGGAGGUUCUGCUUGGCCUGGAGAAUAAGAAGGAUUCAUCCAAGGCCGUUGCCGCGGCGGAGGCUAAGAAAAGAAAGGGUUGUGGUGCUGUUAAACAACUUGCGAAGAAGCGCAAGGCGGAGGUUGUGCUGGAGACUCCUUUGGAGUCUUCCUCUGCCCGCUCUUCUGCUGCCGAGUCUAACUCGGUGGCUUCUGUUCCUGCGGAGGUUGCUCCUGCUGGUGGAGUUCCUGAGGUUGAAGCCUCACGCGCGGUCUCUUCUGUACGCGCGCCUUUCGGGUCCCUUCUUGGGGAGGAGUCUUCCGACGCGGAGGCCCCUGAGGCGAGUCCUGCGCGGGAGGCAAAUCCUGCGGUGGCUGAGAGUCCUGCGCGGGAGGUUUUGGCUGGAGGAGGAUCUCCGCCGAAGGAUGGGCAAGAGGAAUCCAGUGAUGAGGCAGAGUCUGUCUCUGUUCGGAGGAUAAAGAGGGUGGAGGCUCCUCCGCGUGCGGCUGGAGAUGGUAUAAACUCGUUGUACAUGGGUAAAGAUUUUAUUUUUAUUGAUUCUUGUUUUUCUGCGUUUUUUGCUUGACUUGGUCUCAUUUUUUUUUAUUUUUCAGAGGAUGUUUUUGCUGGGCUGGCUACCGCGGAGGAGUUAGCUAAAGGCGCCAGCGUUGCGCAGGAAGGACUUGCUGUUCCUCCGCGGCGUGAGCCCGCGCCUUCUGCGUUGGCAAGUAGGCCUUCGCCUGCUGAUGUUAUUGGUCCCGGUGGGUUUCUUCUUUUUUGUUCAACUAAUUGGUUUGUUUUUUGGCAUUUUAUUCUAAGGUUUGUUUUUGUUUUGCGCAGGUGCUUUUGAUCCUUCGAUCACAGGUUGGACUGAUGCCUUGCGCGAGGUUCAUUCCUUGGUCGGAGGUUCGUUGUCUGGCCUCCGCCACAGGUUUUUUGUUUCUUACGAUGUUUUUUCUUAAUUGUUUUUGCUUUACAGAUCGUUUUCGUCAGAAGCUCCGCGGCAUGGACUUUGACACGCUCCUUCGCGUGCAAUAUGAGCACCAUAGCCUUGUACGUUUGCGAUGUGUUAUAUUUUCCUUCGCCGUUUUUCGCUCGGAGGUUGGUUGUAAUUCUUAUUUUUUGAGCAGGGUCAUCACAUGGCUGCCGCCUUGGAGGAGCGCUGCUCCCGGGAGGUUAUUUGCCGGGACGAGGCUAUUGGUGCUCUGAAGAAGGAGAACGAGACCUUGGAGGUUGAGAAGGCUCGCCUGACGGAGGAGGUUAAGGAGUUUUCUUCCGUCAGGCGGGAAAUUGAGUCCCUGAGAAAGGAAAGGGAUGACUACAAAGCUGGGUCGGAGGCCUUGAAGAAGGAUAAAGAAGAUGCCGAAGCUUCGGCGGCUGUCCUCCGCACGAGUGUCACUGAGGCGGGGAGAGUUAGGGACUUGGCCCUGCAGCGAGCCGAGAAGGCGGAGGACAUUGCUGAACGCCUUCGCAAAGAGCUUGACGCUGAGCGGACGUCUGCGGCUGAGCUGCAGACUCGCAUACAGAAGGCGGAAGCGGAGGCUGCAGCUAUUGUUGGGCUCUAUGCCGACUCGCUGGCGAAGUUUGGGGGUAGCACCUCUGCUCCUCCGCCCGGCGGCGACGUUGGGGCUGCCCUCGCAUGGCUGAAGUCUCAUAUCUGCAUGCUCCCUGAUUUUGUCGGGGGCGCUGUUGAUUUUGGGGCUUUGGCCGCGGUUAGCUCCUUUGCUAAGCUGCUGCGCCGCGGAGGUUGCUCCCACGCGGAGGAUGUUGCCAAGGAGGAGUUUGCCACGGCGGAGGAUGUUGGCGAGGGCACCUCUAGCCUGCGCAAAUCUGUCCGGAACUUCAUCAGUUCGUUCUGGAUUAGGUUUGGGCGGGCUGAGGCGAAGAAGAUGGCGGAGGCUCGUCGCGCUGAGGUAUUUUUGAUUUGGUUUUUUCUUUUUGUAUUUUGUUUUGCUGCUUUGCAAUGUUAUUUAAGAUGGGUAUUUUGUAGGAGAUUGCGAAGAAGAAGGCUAAGAUUGACAAGGCCGGUCCUUCGCGUCCACCAAGCGAGGCGCAUCCUCCGACCCAGGCUGAAGCGGAGGCUCGUGAUGCUGGUGCCAAAGCUCCAGAGGGGUCUGCUGCCAGGGUUCCAGAGCAGCCCGAGACUUCUGCUCCUCCUCCGCCUCAGGUGUGAGGCUUUUUAGUUUUUAGGUUUUUCUUAGUCUUUUUUGCGUCCAAGCAUGUGACGCUUUUUUGUAAGUAAGGCCGGAGGUUUUGCUUAAUUUGUAAAGACUGUUGAAAAUGUAAUAUAUUGAGUUGUUUUCAGAUAAGCCUUUGUUUUACACUUUGAUCCUGCGCAGGUCUCUGGCGGAGGACCUGCGCAGGAUCAAUACAUUACUCCCCUUUCAAUUUUUUACAAAGGGAUUUAUGUUUCUGGCGAAUUGUGGGAGUACUGGCGAAUUGCCUUCCCUAACAUGAGGGUGGUGGAUAUGUUUGAGUUUGUUGGAUAUGACCUAAAUGACGAACGAUCUGAAUUCGUCCGGUCGCUUGCGCGCCGAGGUUCAUGGCCUCCGGCUUAGGUGGUUGUUUUUGCUUUAUUUUUCGUUUAUCGUAGGUUAUGUGUGUAUUUCUUUGACAAGGUUUGUUGCUUUUACGCAGCCGCCAUAUCCUAUCCUUCGCAUCUUUGGUGAGAAGGAUAGGGUACGCUGGGUGUCGGAUGUUUCCGAGGAUUUGGCUGAGCCUUUUCUCCAUGGAUAUCCGGAGGUUCGAAAGCUUCGUAAUACGUUUUGGUUUUAUCCUUCGUAAUAAGUUUUGGUUUUGAAGUUUCUCUCUUUUUUUGUACAGGUUGUGAGGUCUGGUCCAGAGGAUGUUCUUCCUUCGAACUUUGUCGAAGGAAGCUACGUUACCCCUGUGACGUUCAAGCGUGGAGAUCUGUAUGCGAGGGGUUACCUGAUUGAUUGGUGGCGCCAUAAGUAUCCUACGCGUAGUAUUGAUGACUUAGUUGAUUUUCUUGUUCGUGAUUACUGCGAUGAGCUUAGGCUUAUUCCAGAUUCGUAUGUAAAAAUUGUGCGAGGGUCUUAGAACCUUCGACUCUUGACGGUCGAAGGAUGUUUUUCGUUUUUGGUUGUAAACUUUUGUUGUUUAUAGUUAAUAAAGAUCAGACAUUUUGACCAUUGCUUUGGCCAUGUUCUUCGCACCUUUUAGCUUUAUUUUUAUUUCAACCUUCGCGCUAUAACGUUUAUACAUUGCAACGUCACGGUGGUGUUGAUCCUAAGGAUCUUUGUGUUGCUGUGGCCUGCUUGUGCUUGAUGCUCGAUGUUGCGAAGGUGGUGUUGAUUUUUUCUUGCGCGGAGGAUCGCCGCUUCUUGGCCUUAGAACCUUUGACUUUAUUGGUGCGAAGGAGCCUCCGCUGAAUUGUGCUACUUUUUCCCUUUGCUCGACUCCCGUGGAGUGUUGUCGAGGAGAACCUUCGGGUAUCUGAGUCGGAGGUUCUGAAGGGACGUUACGAGACUUCGUGCGAUACCCUUCAGAGACCUCUGAGUCUGAUUUCCAUUAUUUCUGUUGUGGCUGUACACGACUUUGUAGUCGAUGUUCAUCACAACGCCGCAGUUCUAUUAUUACGAAGCUUCGUGCAAUACAAACUUUUGUUGCUGUUGUGAGGCUAACUCCUGCUUCCAUGGUGGCCUAUGAUUUUUGCUUUUUGACUGCUAGGUUUGCACUCGAUGCUCGGGUCUUUGUAUACUGAUCCUGAUUGAGGGUGGGGGCAAGGUGAGCCUGGUUUUAUAGGCUUUCAUGCAUUUAUUUUAUGUACUCUGUUAGGUUAAAAUUUAUUAUCGGGUUAUUGAUGGUUGUUGUGGUAGUUGGUUUUGCUGUACCUGACUGAGAGUUAUUGUAGUUUUGUUUUAUUUUCACACUUUGUUUGUUGGGGGUCUGCUUAGAGUAGCAGGAUACCUUCGACCUUAUUUAGGUGAAGGUUAUGUGAGUUUUGUUGAGGUCUGUCUUGUGAAUGUUAAACCUCCGCUGCCUUUUGGCAAAAAUAAUAUAGUUCCUGAUGCCUGAUUGUCCUCAGGUCUUUGUCAGGUCUGAAGGUUUUGUUCCUUCUGGCCAUGUUGUGAUGCCUGAGGAGGACAGGACUUUUUCACUUUUUGGCCAUGCUAUCCUUGCUGCCCGGCUCUUGGCUAGGUCUUUUGCUAAGGAUUUGGUGUUUUUUCACCUUUGAGGACGUUCCGAGCUUUCUUAGCUUUUGGAUGAAUGCUGCGGAGGGUCCUUGUGAUCACGUGAUGAUUUGUCGAAUGCUACAGCCUCGUUGAUGGCUGUUUUUCGACUUUUGGGCUUUGGUUCUGGGGUGGAUUCCUCUUUAUAUCUCAGAGGUUUUUACAUAGGUUCUGCCUCGUUAAAAACCUCACCUCCUGGUAGGAGUACCCCUGUGAGGAAAAGAGUGCAGACCUUGGAAUGCGAAAAAGUAGAGAAAAAGAAAACAAGCGUAUUUAGGGAUGUGGAUGCCGUCGCUUAUUUUGCGGGGUCAUCCUUACACUCAAAUGUAAAAUCUACGUAGAUUGUCGACGUUCCACGUGUGGGUGGAGGUUCUACCUUCGAGGUCUUUCAGGUAGAAGGAUCCUGACCUUCCCGCUUGUAUUGCUGUAUAAGGUCCUUCCCACUUGGGUUGCAUUUUACCAGCGUUUGGGUGAUCUCCCUUUUUCCUGAGUACCAGGUCCCCAUCUUGUAUGUCUUUCCGUACUACCUUGCGGUCUCUCCAUUUCUUGGUUUCUUGUUGAUACAUGGUAAUGUUCUCCACCGCCUCAAGUCUUAUUGAUUCUAAGGUUUCCUUGCAGUAGUCUUCAUCUUCAGCCAACUGCUGCUUCAUGGAACGCAGGCUUUGGUGUUUGAUUUCUUCGGGCAACAUUGCCUCUUCCCCAUACAAGAGCUUGAAUGGAGUAAACCCAGUUGUUCUUGAAACUGUUGUGUUAUGUGACCACACAACUCUGGGUAGCUCGUCAACCCAUUUCCCCUUUCGCAGGUUGAGUAAGGUCUUGGAGAUUGCAGAGAAUAUUAUUCUGUUUGCUCUCUCCACGGCCCCAUUUGACUCUGGGUGGUAGACGGACGCGAAAGCAAUUUUGGUUCCUAUGUGAUGGCAGAAUUCCUUGAACCUGUCUGAAUCAAACUGCUUUCCGUUGUCAACUGUGAGAAGUCUUGGAACUCCGAAUCUACAGACUAUGUUCUGCCAGAAAAAUUUCCUGAUCGUUUCAGAGGUUAUGGUUGCCAGUGGCUUAGCUUCGAUCCAUCUUGUGAAGUAUUCGAUGGCCACGACGGCAAACUUGUUUCCCCCCUGUGCAGUUGGCAUCGGUCCUACCAGGUCCAUUCCCCAUCUCUGCAACGGCCAUGAUGCUGAUAUAAGCUGAGUUGGUGCUGAAGGUCCUGACUGAAUUGGUGAGAAGGUUUGGCAGGCUUUGCAUGUCUUCACUAUUUCUUCAGCAUCUUUGAUGUGAGUUGGCCAGUAGAAGCCUUGUCUUAAUGCUUUAGCAGACAAUGCGCGAGGUCCAAUGUGAGACCCGCACAUUCCAGAGUGUAUCUCUUGCAGGAGCUCUCUGCCCUCGCUUUGUGAUAUGCAUCUCAGCAAAGGUUGGACUACGGCUUUCUUGUACAGGAUCCCGUCAAUGGUGGUGUAAUUCCUUGCUCUUGCCUCCAUCCUCUUGGCUAUUGCUUCGUCAUCUGCAGCUGUCUUGCCUUUGAGGCAAUCAGCUAUUGCCUGCCUCCAAUCUUCGCUUUCUGUCAGCAGGACUGAGCGAAAAGCUUUUGGCAACGAUUCGGUUGCGGGUGUUGCAAUAAUCUGGUGGAAGGUUCCUUCUGGCAAGGGGGCGUUGUUGGCUGCUGCUUUCGCUAGCUCGUCUGCCUCGUAGUUCUCGGCUCUUGGAAUGUACUGCAGAGUGAAUCCCUUGAACCUUCUCUCCAGGCCUCUUACGACGGCCAGAUAUCUUGCCAGCUCCGGGUUGUGUGCUAGGUAUUCCUUCUCCACUUGCCCUGCCACCACCUGGGAGUCUGUUUUGAUGAGUAGGGUUUUUGCUCCCGAAGCCUUAGCUUUGUUCAGCCCGAGGAUGAGACCUUCAUACUCAGCUAUGUUGUUUGUUGCUUUGAAUUCGAGUCGUACAACAAACUUUAGUUUGAGUCCAGAUGGUGCGAUUAGAACGGCUGCUGCUCCUGCUCCUGCUUGACCCCAGGCACCAUCUGUAUACAACGUCCACGGUUGAUCGACUACCUUCUCCUCCUCUUUGUUCGAAGGUGUCCAAUCUGCCAUGAAGUCAGCCAGGGCUUGAGAUUUGAUGGAGGUUCUGGGGACAUAGGUGAUGUCAAACUGUGACAGUUCGGCCGCCCAUUUUCCUAUACGUCCGGAAGCCUCUUUGUUCCUAAGGAUAUCACCCAAUGGCUGCGAAGUGGGUACUUUAAUCUCAUGGCUUUGGAAGUAAUGCUUGAGCUUACUUGAUGCACACAAGACCGCGUACGCGAUUUUUUCUAUCUCCGUGUAGUUCAACUUUGCUCCUGACAGAGCUUCGGAUACGUAGUAAACGGGCCUUUGCACCGUUCCCUUGCUGUCGCUUGUCUCGUGCACCAGGACACCACUGACAGCGUGCUCGGAGGCAGCCACAUACAGUAGUAGUGGGGUGUCUGGCUCAAGCACUGUUACCACCAGGUUGGUUGCAAUGUAAUUCUUGAGCUGCCUGAAGGCCUCUGAUUGUUCCGGACCCCAUUCUGUUUUACCUUCUCCUCUCAGCACUUUGAAGAAUGGAAGGCUCCGUUCUGCGGAUCUUGAAAUGAAUCUGUUGAGGGCUGCUAUUCGGCCAGUCAGCCUUUGCACUUCUUUCUUGCUUGAAGGUUCCGCCAUUGACAUGAUUGCCUUUGUCUUGUUUGGGUUUGCUUUGAUUCCUUCAGGACUGAUAAUAUAUCCCAGCAUUUUCCCUUUGCUGACCCCGAAUACGCAUUUCUCCGGGUUGAGUUUCAGCCCGGCGGUUCUGAGGUUGACAAAGGUUUCCUGUAGGUCCUUGAUAUGAUCUUCUUUGCGCUUGCUCAUGACGACAACGUCGUCAACGUAGGCUAGUAGAGCGCAAGGCUCUUAACCUUGUGGUCGUGGGUUCGAGCCCCACGGUGGGCGCCAAUGUUGGGGAGAGGCUCUCCGCACUCCCCAGCAGUACGGUGAAUCGUGAACCUUCUCACUCGGUGCCGUGAGAGGUUUGAGCUCCAACGGACAGUAGGCUCGACAGUAGGUGAAAAUAGUGAAUGCUCUCUCCCUCUUUUAUUAAUGUCGGCGUGCUCCUUUUAUAGGGCUCGGAAACCGACCUAAGACAGUUACAGAUAUGCCCCGUGACGGUGGGGGAAUAUUCCAGCAUAUUCGUACAUCACAGUCUGCUGAUCCUAAGUUACUUGCGUAAUUUCACACUACAGGCUCUCCACGCGCUCCUCGUCCGGGGCUUCAGACUGUCGAACGCUCGUAUCCUUCGCCCGGCAGUCGAUCCUUCGACUCUUCCGCGUCGAAGGUUCCCUGAGCCGGCUGAGUCGGAGGUUGCUCGGGUUGGCCACCUCGGAGGCCGCUCGGCUCAGAUGCGCCGGAGGUUUAUCUCCUCCGCCGCAUCUCCCGAACAUCCUUCGCCAUAGGAAAGCUCGAAGGUUCCCCCCUUCUUCGCCCGCAGAUCUCCGCCGGUGCUCCAGUCCCUGCAUAUGCUCAACAUAGCGAGAGUCAUGUCAACGUUAGCCUUUCUCAGGGUCCUCCGCAUGCAUCUGCACGGAGGUUUCCUGGGUGGAGGAUAGCCUUAGACGCUACCAGGUCGGAGGUUACUCGGGUGAAGGAUAACCUCAGACGCUACCAGGGUGAAGGAUGCGGCCAUUUCCCAACAAUAUCAAUACUCCCUAAUCAUGAGUUUCAUAAGUUGUUUUUAAAUAGAUUUACAUAUUUUAACUAAAACAUUAUUAUGUCAUAUCAGUAUUGGUAAUUUAACUUUUACAACUCUAUAAUAUAUAAAAUAAUACUACACACAUGUAAUUUGUGAUCUAACAAUAAAAAAGUUCGGUGCUAGGAUGCAAUAUGAGUUUCAACUUAAUUAACAUGCAGAAAACAAUAAUACUAAGACCUAAACUUUUUAAGAAAAAUAACUUUAGAAUAAAAAAUAAAAACACACACACUAGAGUUUCUACUUAAAUACUCCCUCCGUCUCAAAGACCGACGUCAAUGUCUCGUGGAGCAGGAUGGAGCAGAGCAGCGCCCACUGCAACGGGCGGAGGAAGUCGGCGAGCAGCAGAUAGAGGCCGUAGAGCACGAGAGCGCGGUGGCGAGGCCCGCGUGCGCCAUGGUGAUGUAGAGGGAGAGGAAGGGGUGGUGGAUUUGGGGGGUUUCCGAUCGCGCGUGGGAGUUGCGGUCACGUGUUUGCCAAGUCGCAGAUGGACUUGCAUAAAUGCCAAGUCUUCCCUGGAAUUUGCCAAGUUUCUAAAAAUGCAAAACCAAUAUGCAAAACUGUUGGAGAGGUGUUUUUGUGAAUUUUGGCAAAAAUCAAGAAUACAAAAACAAUAUGCAAAACUAUUCGAGAUGUUAGGUAACGAGAACGGCUCCAGUACUCCUCUUUUUAAAACUUACACGGAUCCCAAAGUAGUAUAUUGAAUUAACUAAUACCAUUUUCUUAAUUACUUUUCACCUAUGUUACGGACGGCCCAGGCCUGUCCGAACCCAGCCCAUGUCCAGGCCGCAGCCACAUUCGCAUUCGCAUUACCCGGCGCUGGCAACGAGGUUGAUCGCUGGUCCGCUGCCGUGUGUAAUUGAUCGAAUAAUCUCGCUGCAAUCUACUAAUCUUCCUACUACGAUUCUAUAUAUCCUGCAUUCGUAAACACUACUAGUACACUGCUGCUCGAGACUAGUCAAGGCAAAGUUUAGAUGCCACACGCCCAGACCUGUUGCGAGCCAAAGCAUUUGGAUGACGCCGAGACGGCACCGCUCCUCAUGUGCACGUGAAACAACCGCGGCGGCAGACGUACAACGCAGCAACGCCCAGCUCUCACAAUGGCGUGAAGCGGAGAAUGGGGGUUCGAUCCGCGGGGUGGAAAUGGUCAUCACCCGUCGUCUCCUUCAUCAGCGAGGAAAUGAAACGAGUGGGGCAUCUGGGAGCGAUUACUUUGGAUUUGGAUCAGGGCCAAACUCCCGCUAGGUUUAAACGGGCCAAACCCAGGAGAGAAAAAUAAUUAAGAAAAAGAUAAUUGGCUAAUAGAUGGCUUUGAGAUUCAUGUAAUUUUUUUAAAAAGAUAAGUAUCGGAGCAAAAGCCCUAUCUAACUAGUAUUCAUGUGGAAAAGGACUGACAUGCUUCUUCCUCAAGCUGUCGUCCACGGUCCACACCCCUCUAGAUCAAGGUUUUUUUUGGUAGGAAAAUUUUUUCGGCACCUGCCGAUAAAUAUGAAAUUUCAGAAAUUUUGGAUGAAAUUUAAAUAAAUUCAAAUUGAUCUUCAAAAAAAUUGGCACCAUUUUACUAGAAAAACUUUCUAAUAUAUCACUCAUCAUAAAUUUAUAUAAUAUCAACAAAAUAACACAAUAUAUCAUUGCGGUAGUACAGUAGGCUGACGGUGGGCAAGCUGCAUAUGCUAGCGUGUCACGAAAUAUGUGAGUGAAAAAAUUAAAUAAUUUUAAGAAAUUUAGGGCUUUGAUAAGACCAGAAGAUAUGAUGGGUCAUUUUAUUGUUGUUUGGAGUAAUUUUGAAAUGAAACAUUAAUUUAACCGAAAAAUUUGACGAUAUAAUUUUUUUUCAAACCUCACCGAAAAAUACGAAAUUUCAAAAAUUUUGGCAAAAUUUCGUCGAAAAAGAAAACCCUGCUCUAGGGCCUUGUUUAGUUCCUCAAAAAUUUUGCAAAAUUUGUUAGAUUCUCCGUCACAUCGAAUCUUUAGACUUAUGCAUAGAGUAUUAAAUAUAGAUGAAAAUAAAAACUAAUUGCACAGUUUGGUCGGAAUGGACGAAAGAACGAAUCUUUUGAAUCUAGUUAGUCCAUAAUUGGAAAAUAUUUGUCAAAUAGAAACGAAAGUGUUACUAUUCCUAUUUUGCAAAAAUUUUUUGGAAGUAAACAAGGCCUAGAUUCGAUCAUACGUACUUGCACACGUAAGUCACUAGUUUCUUUCAGUGCAAACCCGUCACUCUCUAGACAAGAAACAAAGCAUAUAUAGGGACGAAUGUUUCCUCUCUUAGUCAACAUCUUUACUUUUCACACCCCACGAUUAUAUGGUAAAACCUGGUUGGCCUUGUUGACGAAUCUGCGCCACAGGACACUUUGACACAUUGCAACCAGCAAUUUGUAGCUAGCUUCGGGCCGGUGUUUGUUGUGGUGCAUCUUAUUGCACACAAGUCAACCGUACGUGCCCGCCAAGAAAACAAUACGAUGCCUACCGGCUACUACUUAUAUAACGCGCCCCCGCUCUCUCACGAAGCACACACUGCACAACUGUGGCCUUGUGGUUGUCACACAGCAAAUAACUCGAAAGGAAAUAAACGAUGGACGGCGACGUUGUAGCAGCUGCAGCAGCUUUGCCAUCACCGUGGAGCUUGCUCCAGGGGCUCCUUGCCCUGCUGAUCGCGUGGGGCAGCUACCAGGCCGCGGAGACAUUCUGGCUGCGGCCCCGGCGGCUCAACCGGGCGCUCCGGGCACAGGGGCUCAGCGGCACUGAGUACCUCUUCCCAGCCGGCGACCUCAAGGAGAAUAACAGGCUCAACGACGAGGCACGAUCGAGGUGUAUGCCGUUGUCCCAUGACAUAGUUCCCCGUGUGAUGCCGCAUCUCUUCAACACAGUUAAGGAGCACGGUAUGUCGAAAGUAAUUAAACACACGUUCCUUUCUUUCUUCUUGCCCACGCUGUCCUCUCCCUCUCUCGCUAAACUCACUCGCGUUGCGCACUCCUCUACCUUACAUACCCACCUCUUACCCCACCCUUGCAUUGCGCAAACCCAUCUUUCCCUAAACCUAGGUUGCAAGCGACCACUCUACAGAUAGGUCUAGGCAUUAGGUAUUACCGAACCAUGGUUUGGUACUUCAGUUCCCACACAAAUUCGGUUCCUCAAAAAAUAGGCAUUGGUCAGUUUAUUCCAAAAUUUGGUACACAAUAAAAUUGGUUUUGGUAUUUUUGGUUUGGUUUCAGUAUUUAUUGAAAACUACCGAACUGAACACAGAGACUCGUAAUAGCAGGUAUAAAAGCUAAAUUUGCAAGAAUUUCAAAGAGAAUAAUAGUGCAAAAUACAUACACAUAAAAGUUCAUAAGACUAUAAGAGUAGAGUACUACAAAUACAUAAUAUAAUAGUCUUUAAUAAUACAAUCAAUAAUUUAACAAUAUUCAAACUCAGCAUAUUUCGCGUAGUUUGGCCAGUCCAGGCAUGACUUGAUUCGGACUGUUUUGGACUUGUAUCACCCCCUCUAGAUUUGAUUUGUCACCAUCUUCACGUUUAAGUAAACAAAUUCACAUAGUCCUUUGUAAUACUCAUUCCCUAAAUUUGUCCAUUCCAAUAAACUGGAAAAUUACCUAAGUUUUAAAGAUUUUUUUUGAGAAUACUAAGUUUUAAAGAUUGAAUUGAAAGUUUUGUAGACUUAACGGCACAUAUGCAAACGUUGAACUGCAGGCAACAUUUCUAUCACCUGGGUCGGACCAAUUCCUAAGGUGAUAAUCACGGAGGCAGAGUUAAUAAGGGACGUCCUAUUAAACAAGUCUGGCCACUUCAAGAAGGUCAUCACGAACAAGCGUCUUAUAAAAAUGCUCGCCCUUGGGAUUGCGAGUCACGACGGUGAGAAAUGGGCAAAACACAGAAGGAUCCUAAAACCCGCAUUCCAUCAAGAAAAGCUCAAGGUUCUCUGACUUCCUUCACACAAGAAAUCAGCCUUAGUUACAAUAUGCACAGCCUCAAGCAUAUAGAUAUGUGUGCUUACUAAAUUUAUUUUUUAGCGCAUGCUGCCGGCGUUCUCGACGUGCUCUACCGAGCUUAUAGAUCGCUGGGAGAAAAAACUCGCUGGUUCUGACGGAUCAUAUGAACUGGAUAUCUGGCCGGAGUUUCAGAACCUCACCGGAGACGUGAUCUCCCGAACGGCAUUUGGCAGCAGCUUCAUGGAAGGGCGAAGGAUCUUCCAACUUCAGGGCGAGCAAGCAGAGCGGCUAUUCAAGGCCUUCCAGUAUAUGUACAUUCCAGGCUUCAUGUAAGAACUUUCUGAUCUGUCACAUGGUACAGUAAUUCUAGUACAUAUAUUAAAGGUCAUCACAUUCAUAUGUGUGUGCUCAUGCCGUUAUAUAUAUGCAGCUUCUUCCCGACACAGAACAAUCGGAGGAUGAAAGAAAUCAACAGGGAAAUUGAAGGGACUCUAAGGGGCAUGAUCGAGAAGAGGGAGCGCGCAAUCGAGAAUGGCGAAACCAGCGGCAACGACUUGCUCGGCUUGCUGCUGCAGUCAAACAUGGAAAGCGGGAAAGGCAACCUGAGGAUGAGCACCGAGGACAUGAUUGAGGAGUGCAAGCUCUUCUACUUCGCGGGGAUGGAAACCACGGCAGUGUUGCUCACAUGGACACUCGUCAUCCUAGGCAUGCACCCUGAGUGGCAGGACCGCGCGAGGGAGGAGGUCCUCAGCGUGUUCGGCAGGGACAAGCAGCCCAAUUUUGAUGGCCUAGGUCGACUCAAAACGGCAAGUGUUUCUUUGCAAUACCAUGUAUAUGCAUGUUUGCUCCAACCAUUCAACAUUAUAUUACCUGUUAACAUUGUUUGUACCUACAUGAUAUCCAGGUGACGAUGAUACUAUACGAGGUGCUCAGGCUGUACCCAUCGGUAGUGACCCUAAAUCGAAGAGUAUCCAAAGACAUGCAUAUUGGAGGCAUCACAUACCCUGCAGGGGUAAUCCUCGAGCUUCCCAUAAUCGUCCUCCACCACAACCCUGAUGUCUGGGGGAAGGACGCACAUGAGUUCAAGCCAGAGAGAUUCGCUGAGGGGAUCUCAAAGGCGACCAAGGACCAACCAGCAUUCUUCCCCUUCGGAUGGGGGCCGAGGAUCUGCAUCGGGCAGAACUUUGCGUUGCUUGAGGCCAAGAUGGCCUUGAGCAUGAUCCUCCAACGCUUUGAGUUCCAACUAUCGCCUUCAUACACGCAUGCACCGUACACGGUCGCUACGCUGCAUCCUCAGCAUGGCGCGCCAAUUAUAUUCAAGAAGAUCUGAUCGUCUUGUAUGACAUUGUCAAUCGGUCGUUAUCAAUGAGUAUGUCACAGUGCAAAAAUAGUAGAUUUGUAUGAGUACAGUAUUAUUUUUUUGAUGAAACAGGAGGGGUGCCCCCUACUGGACUUUUAUUGAAAAUAAAUAAUGAGUACAGUAUUAUUAGAGGGUUUAAUUUUGUGUAUCUGAAUUUUGAGGUGGAAACAGUAGUAAAUCGUAGGAUUGAAACUAGCUUAGCUGUCCUUUUCUAAUGUUUCGAUCAGCUUCUUCAUCAAAUUCUUGUAUUCAGCGUUCAAAUUCAUAUCAACGACCUAGCCGGCCGCUGGCUUACUCCUAUUUUCACAACUAUAUUCUAUCCACUCCGAAUUGUAUAUCACUUCGAAGUUGUCCUUUGUCGAACUUCCUUCUCUAACUUUGAAGUUCAAAUAAAUAAUUAAACUAUCAAGACAUAUUUUUUUGAAGAAUACGAUGAAACCCUUCUCUAACUUCCUUCUGUUAGACUAAUAUAAUUAGGCCUAUAACUGUGGAUGUAAUCAUGUAAUCACGCCAAUUACGGUAGCAUGCCACUCAAACGUGUAUAUAUAUAUAUGUACUCCUGUACUCAUACUUGGAAUACAAUCAUUUAUUCCCACAUUCUCAUGGUAUCAGAUAGCGGUUUCCAUCCGCCACACUUCCACAACCCCAUCUCGUGCAGCCGAUCGCCGCACCAUCGCUGCCGAACCACUCGCUGGGAGCGCCGCCAGGUCCUGAUCGCGCCGCGCACACAUCCCGAUCGCCUGCCUCGUUGCUGUCCAAGCCGUUGCAGCCACCGAUCCAGCUGCUUCUCCACGCGCCCGCCCGACUCCGCAGUCCGCCUCGCAUCACGCGGACUCGCCAGGCCAUCCUCGCACAGAGCCGCCAGGCUGUCAUCACGUCGCGCCUCUGCACGUCGCCCGCGCCGUCAUGAUGGCGGCUGGAGACGACGACGCUGCUGCUGCAGCAGCUGCCAAGGACGCUGAGGACAGACGCCUCGCAGAUGAGGCCAAGGCUCGACUCCACGAAGCGCUCUAGGCACAAGCCAGGCGCAAGCCACUGCCGUCGUCAACAGUGGCGGAGCCAGGAUUUCAAACUUGCGUAUUCCCACUUCCACAAAGUUAAAUUUAUAGACUUAAAAUAUAGUCAAUGAUACUGUAAGUCAGCAACUUUAAACUAAUAUUUGCUUUCUAGGAUAUAGAUUUCUAAUUAAAAUGUCAGUUUACAUGUUUUGAGCUCAAAUGUGCGAAAAUACUAUAGAUUAUAGCAUUAUAUAUUUAUAUAUAUAAAUAUAUACACAUAUUUACAUAAAAGUGUACCAAAAUAGUUGGGUAUUCCCAGAAAUACUUGGGAAUACCCCUAGAUCCGCCCAUGGUCGUCAACGUGAAGGCUCUCAUCCCGGUCAUCCUCGAUUAGGCGACGACCACCUACACCAAGUGGUGCGGCAUGUUCCUCACUGUCCUCAGCAAAUAUGCCCCUGACUCAUCACGUCCUUGAGGACGAAACAUUCCCGUCACGCCCCGCAUGGGUUGAAGCCGAUUGCUGCAUCCUGGAUCUACGACACCCUUUCUAGUGACCUGCAGCAAUCUCUGAUGAUGCGACAGGGCCCGGCUCGCGGGGCGUGGUGCUACCUCGAGGAUGAGUUCCUCGGCCAAAAGGAGUCAAGGGCGCUUUUGCUCGAGAUGAAAUUGAUCCGCAACUUCCGUCAAGAGUCCCCGAGCAUCACCGACUACUGCCGCCAGCUCGAGUCGAUGGCGGCUUCCCUUGCCGAGUUCGGUGAUCCCAUCGGUGAUUGACAGAUGGUGCUCACGCUCCUUCGCGGCCUCGGUGGCAAGUUCUGCCACAUGGUGUCCAUCCUCAAGAUGCACAGGCUGUUCCCCACGUUUGCGGAGGCACGGGCGCAUCUGCUGUUGGAGGAUAUGGAAAUCGAUGCACGUCCUCUGUCCUCGCCAUCAGCACUUGUCACUACAACGCCACGACCUGCGGCUCCAGGGGCUCCGGCGCCUCCACGUCCGGAGGCGCCUCCUCCAGCACCCCCCUGGUGCCCAACGGCCAACGCACCGGCCGUCGUCGCGGUCACGGUGGAGGCAAUAGCCAACAGCAGGGCCAAUCAGCGCCCCUGGCCCGGUGGCACCCCUUCGGCUGGACAAGGGGGUGCACCCCCCGGUAUGCAUCUGUCAUUCGUGCACCCAUGGGCUGGCACUAUGCGGUUGUGGCCAUAUGACCAGUCCGGGCGCCCACCCCCACCGUUGCCAGUGUUCAGUGACGUUCCACAGUACAACAGCUUCGGUGGCGCAUCUAGCGCCUAUGGUGGCAUCUAUGGCGCUCCAUCCGCUUUGUACGACACGUGCUACGGGGGAGCUGCACCCCCCGGGUUUCUAGGCGCCUGCACCGGCGUACCAGGCGGCGCCCUAGAACCCUACUCACGAUGGUGCAUGGCAUCAGGACGCCCUUGCAUACUCCUUCACCACCAUGACGUUGAACCCACCACACACUACUUCUGGGUGGUACGCCGACUCUGGUGUAGGAUCGCACAUGACAUCGGACACUGGUAAAAUCUCCACCCCCUCCCCCCAACUUCAUUCACGCCUUCAUUUAUCAUUGUGGGCAAUGAUGCUUUGGUUCCUGUCACAGCCACUGGAUCACACACCUUUUCUUUACGACAUCACAGUAUGCCCAUGUCUUCACCAAGGGUACGUCUUUCUACCUCAUUAUUUCAGGAGUUCCAGUCUAGUCUGAUCAUUAGCGAUGCCUCUAAUUAGACGUCGGGAGAGUGUUAGACUAAUAUAAUUAGGCCUAUGUAAUCACACCAAUUGCGGUAGGCUUGCAUGCCACCCAAGCGUGUUAUAUAUGUACUCCUGUACUUAUACUUGGAAUACAAUCAUUUAUUCCCACACUUCACCUUCAAUUGUCUGCCGGAUGAAUCGGAUUCCGAGGCGCGUAGCUCCGUUGCCCUGGUGUGGGUUAACAGCAGCCGUUAUGUGUGGCUCUGCAACAGAAGGUGACAGGCGCCGUCGAGCUGGUGCUGCCGGCGGGGCCGAGUGUUAGCAGUAGGCAAGGGUUGGAGAAAUUGGGGAAGGGAAUUAAGACGAACAGCAAGCAAAGACGCAGAUAGAUCGGCGAAGAAACGAAGAUGAGUGCUUAGGCAGUUAGAACUUGGUUUACAACUUUCUGAAUGCCUCUCUUCUCUCCCAAGCCAAGUCUUAUACGAUACAUGGGCAAAGCCCCGCCCGUGCACGCAGGCACGCUAAACCCAUUCUGGGCCGGCUAAACGGACGUUGGGCUUCCUCACGCGAACCCGAGUGCUUGACCCAUGGGCUUCUUCUCCUGUGGCCUCGUCAGGUGGAGAAGUGCUGACACUCCCCGGGUCUUGAGGACCUGCUUGACCCCAAGCAGGAGCAUGGGGAAAUGACUGACGAAGAUGUGCCAAAUUUUCCCAGGUAGCCAUCUCCUUGGGCCAGCCAGACCAACGAACCAACCCUUGUUCCACCGAGCCAUGAGCAGCAGGAACCGUGCGAGUCUGUAGAACAGCCAUGGGUAUACGAGGGAGCUCGGUGUCAGAAGGUAAAACAGGGGAUACCUGAGUGCCAGGCAAGACAGCCGCCUUAAGCUGGGAGACGUGGAACACCGGAUGAACUUAUGUUGUGGGUGGCAACUGUAACUUGUAUGCUACACUACCAAUUCGUUCCAGAACGGUGAAGGGCCCAAAAUACUUGAAGGACAGCUUCUGGUUGGCGCGAGGGGCCAGAGUAGACUGCACAUAAGGUUGGAGCUUCACAAAGACCUCAUCCCCCACACUGAAAUGACGCUCAGAGCGAUGCUUGUCAGCCUGCUUUUUCAUGCGUUGUUUAGCUCAGGCCAAGUGUUGGCGAAUCAGAUCAGUGAUCACCUGACGGUCGCGAAGCCAAGUGGGGAUGUCUGGAACAACCACGUCAUCCAAGACGGAAAUACCAAAGUGGCGCGGAGCAUGACCAUAGAGGGCUUCAAAUGGAGAAAACCCAGUAGCUGAAUGCGGGGAAGUGUUAUACCAAAACUCGGCCAGGCCCAACCAAGAAGACCAUUUGUGAGGACAAGCAUUCACAAAGCAGCGAAGAAAAGUUUCCAUGGUUUGAUUAAGACGCUCUGUUUGCCCAUCCGACUGGGGGUGGUAACUGGAGCUCAUUUGCAGAGACACAUCUGCUGCACGGAAAAGUUCUUUCCAGAAGGUGCUCGUAAAGAUACGAUCCCGAUCAGAGAUAAUCACCGAUGGCAAUCCAUGUAAUUUGUAGAUGUGGUUUAGGAAUACCUUGGCAACAUGCUGGGCAGUAAAUGGAUGCAAGAGGGGAAUAAAAUGGCCAUAUUUAGUGAAGGAAUCCACCACCACUAAGAUGCAAUUGGCAUUCCCAGAACGAGGCAACCCUUCGACAAAAUCCAGAGAGAUGAUCUGCCAAGCUGAAGCGGGUACCGGUAAGGGCUGAAGUAAACCAGGGAGGCGGGAACGAUCUGGUUUUGCUCGUUGACAAGUCAGGCAAGACUCGACAAAGGAACGGACGGAGGUCUUCAUGCCAUGCCAAUAGAAUAUCUGUUUCAUGCGGGCAUAAGUGACGGGAAAUCCGGAGUGACCGCCCAAGGCCGAAGAGUGAGUUGCUUGAAUGAGCCAUUGUUGGAGAGAAGGGUUAUCCCCAAUCCAUAUUUGCGUUCCGCGGCGAAGAACACCAUCCCUCAAUGAAAACCUAGAUACAGCCUGAGGGUCAAUCGACAGCUUAGCAAUCAUAUCCAGGGUGGCCGGGUCCUUAUCGUAACCCGAAGUUACUUCCAGAAUCCAAGAGGGUUGGACAACAGACACCGCAGCACAGACAGAGUCAUGAAAGGUCUUCCUGGACAAAGCAUCAGCUGCCCGAUUGGAGGAUCCAGGCUUGUACACAAUACGAAACUGAAGGCCAGCCAACUUAGAGAACACUUUUUGUUGCCAAGGAGUGUGUAACCGUUGGUCAGUGAGUUGGACCAGACUUUGUUGAUCGGUAUAAAUGAUGAACUCCGCCAGUUGAAGAUAAGAGCGCCACUGUUGUACUGCCAAAAGGACUGCCAAAUAUUCUUUUUCAUAAGUACUAAGCCCGCGGCUGCGAGGACCCAGCGCCUUGCUUAAGAAUGCCAAAGGAUGACCAUCCUGAGAUAACACAGCGCCAAUCCCUGUAGCACUAGCAUCCGUUUCAAUGCUAAACGGUUUAGAGAAAUCUGGCAAUGAUAAAACCGGAGCAGAGCUUAAUGCAGUCUUCAGCACUUGGAAGGAAUCUUCAUGGGCCGGAGUCCAAUGAAACAAAACAUUCUUCUUCAACAAGUCAGUCAAUGGCUUAGCAAUGAUGCCAAAGUGGCGCACAAAUUUCCGGUAGUAGCCAGCCAACCCGAGGAACCCGCGCAAUUCCUUGAGGUUGGUAGGAGUAGGCCAACCAAAGACUGCAGCAAUUUUUUGAGGGUCCGUAGCAACACCUGCUCCAGAAAUAACAUGCCCCAGAUAAGCAAUGCUACGUUGUGCAAAAUCACAUUUAGACAACUUAAUCUUCCAAUCAUGAACUUGUAACUGUUGGAAGACACACUGAAGAUGUUUCAGAUGUUCCUCAUAAGAUUUGCUGAAAAUAAGGAUGUCAUCAAAAAAAACAAGUACAAAUUUGCGGAGGAAAGGAGCCAAUGUGGAGUUCAUAGCCUCCUGAAAUGUGCCUGGAGCGCCAGUGAGACCAAAUGGCAUAACUCGGAACUCAAAAUGGCCGAAGUGUGUUUGAAAUGCAGUCUUGAAUUCCUCUCCAGGUUUGAGCAGGAUUUGAUGGAACCCUGAACGUAAAUCCAGCUUAGAAAACCAGGAAGCACCCCCUAACUCAUCCAACAAUUCAUCGAUAAUGGGAACUGGGUAUUUGCCUUUCACAGUGAUGGCAUUAAGAUGGCGAUAAUCAACACAAAAACGCCAGGAAUGGUCUUUUUUCUUGACUAACAGCACUGGCGAGGAAAAAGGACUGGUGCUUUUUUGAAUAAUGCCAGAGUCCAACAUUUUCUUGACCUGACGUUCCACUUCAUCCUUGAUAGUUGGUGAAAACCGAUACGGCCGAGUAAAGACUGGAGAAGCACCAGAAACAAGAGGGAUAGAAUGAUCACAACUGCGAGACGGUGGAAGCUGGUGCGGUUUCUCAAACAAGGUAGAGUAGUGCUGAAUGAGGUCCUGGAUUUCUGGAGGCCAAGAAGACUGAUCUGGCUCGGUUGGAGGCUCAAUCCCAACAUGCAGAACCGCACCAGCAGGCAACUCUGGCAAUAUACCCACCAACUGAACCGAAUGUCCUUCAUGGAAAAACUGUAUCCACUUCUGGGCCCAAUGUAUCUCCAUAGGACUAUGGUUUUCUAGCCAAUCCAGGCCUAAUAUCAUGUCAUAGGAAGAUAACGGCAAGACCUUGAUGUCAGAAGUAAACUGAUAUUGUUGAAUAGACCACUGAGCAUCCGGAAUAUGAAAUGAGCACUAUAACAACUGACCAUUAGCCACCUGAACCUUUAAUGGAACAGCCAGAGGUUGGAGAAUGUCAAGCUGGGAGGCCACAGCUGAACUGAUGAAUGUAUGUGAACUGCCCGAGUCCAGAAGAAUACGCACCGGCUGAGUACCCAGACAACCCCAGAAGCACAUGGUACGAGGUGCAAUAGACCCAGAAACAGCUGCAACAGAUAAUGUCAGGAACAAUUGCUCAUCUGUCUGGUCAAUAGGAGCUGCAUCAACCUCAGAAGCUUCAUCCAGUUGUAAAACAUCCAGAAGUUCCUGAACCACAUGGAGCUGCACUGCCUGUGGACACUGGUGAUCCCGUGACCAUUUACCACCACAGCGCAUACAUAAACCCUGGGCACGUCGGGACGCACGAAGCGCCGACCAACGUUCUUCAGUUGAAGGAACUCGGCCACCUUCAGGCAUAACUUUGGCUUCAGGAGCUGGUAAUGCCAACCGGUUAGGUGGGGCUGGCAGCGGCAAUGCCGUCCUCAUGUUAGGACGCAUCGCCACUGUGUUAUCCCAUCGCUUCACAUCACGCCUCCUGGCAGGGUCCGCGACAUCCUCCUGCAAGCGAGCCAGAACACACGCAGUAUCGAAUGUUUGUGGAUGAUGCAAGGAUACAGCAACUUUAAUGUAAUCCUUUAAGCCAUCAAUAAAGCGCAUAGUAUAAAACAAUGGAUCAGAAGUGCCACCAUAAGCAGUGAGUUGUGUUGGGGAAAAGCUGCAUCCUUCCCCCCGGUAGCGCCGGAGGUUAUCCUUCACCUGGGGAACCUCCGACGCCUGGAACGUCGGAGGAUAUCCUUCGACGGGAAAUGCUAAUGUUGACGACUCGUCUGGUCGUGCAAAGUGUGUGCAGGGACUGAAGCACCGGCGGAGGUCCACGACUGAGGAAAGGUUGGAACCUCCGACCCUCCCGGGUCCGAGGAUGGCGGGAGAACGUAGCCAGGCCAAGGAGGAACUCCCGGGAUGGCCGGGUGAAGCAACCUCCGACCAGCCGGGCUGCGGAACCACCGACACCAAAGCGUCGGAGGAUCCGCAACUGGGCGGAGGAUCCGAGCCUCCGACCUGCUGAGGCCCCAGUCAAAGGAUGAACGGAGGGUUCGCAAUGUGAAAUUACGCGAGUGUAUUGGGGUCAGUAGACUGCGAUGGAAGAAUAUGCUGGAAUAUUCCCCCACCGUCACGGGGCAUUUAUGUAAAUGUCGUUGGGUCGGUUUCCGGGCCCUAUAUAAGGGGCGUGAUGCUGCCAUUAAUAGUGAGAGAGCAUUCAUUGUAUUCACCUACUGUUGAGCCCACUGUCCGUUACUGCUCAAGCCUCUCACGGCACCGAGUGAGAAGGUCCUCGAUCUACUGUACUGCUGGGGCGUGCGAAAAGCACCUUCCCAACAUUGGCGCCCACCGUGGGGCCCGAGGUAUAACCUGCGAUGGCUGGAAAGAGAACAAGCACCACGAGACCUCGGGCAGAGCCCUCCAGGAGAGGGAGGCCGAUGAGGGCCGUGCGAAGCGCGUACACGACCGUGGAGGGAGAAGGUUCUCAGGACGAGCAGCCAGAGAACGAGCAGCCGGAAACACGCCGAGAACCUCCUCCCGCCGCAGACCCGGCGCAACCCACUGCCGCACAAGAGCUCCAGCAACUGCAAACGCAAUUGCGGAACCUUCAGCAAGAGCGAGACCGGAUCGCUGCUGCCUACGCCGCCAGCCAAGAGGCAGCGGUAGCCGCGACGCAAGCAGCCGAGAUCAGGCAGCAGCUUUCACUCCUGCAGGCAGAAAUCCUUAGCAUGCAACCUCCAGCUCAGCCGACAAUUCAGCCCGCUGUUCUGAACAGCGCCGGCCCAACAUUAGAUGUGCAACCGAUGAACUACGGCGGCAUGCCGCGGGGCACGUUGGACCUUCGUUCCCCUCUGUCCGAAGGAUUGCAGACCUCGCCUUGGCCAACAACCUACAAACCAAUCACGCUCCCUAAAUUCAGCGGAAAGGCCGAUCCGCGCCAAUUCCUGAUGAGUUUUGAGGCAGCCGUGGCCUCAGCUGGAGGGAACGAGACUGUGAUGGCAAAAUCUUUCGUGAUCGCGGCCGAGGGAGAUGCCUUGGCAUGGUAUUCGAUGCUGAGGCCCGGGUCGAUCUAUUCGUGGGAGAACCUUCGAGACAAGAUUUUAGCGAAUUUCCAGGGAUUCGCAGUUGAAUCACUAACCUCCACGGACCUAUUCCAGUGUCGCCAGAGUCAGGGAGAGGCACUGCGGGAUUACUUCCAAAGGUUCGUGCAGACCAAGGCGAGAGCACCCGGCGUGCCGGAGGAGGUUGCCAUUGAAGCGGCCAUCAAGGGUCUCCGCAUAGGACCCUUCGCGGCUCAUUUGGCCAGAGAAAAGCCAGCAUCCAUGCACGAGCUGUACCACGAGUUUGAGAAGUAUUGCAGGUCAGACAACGAUUACCGCAAAAGGUUGGAAGACCAAAACUCUCAGAAGAGGCAGAGCAAUGAUAGAAACUCACAGAAAAAGAACCUCAGCCAGGAUGGACGCCGGCCACAGCAAGAGGCUGGUGGACAGAUGAUGAAUAUCGAGCAACCGAAAAACGAAAUGCCGGAAAAUAACCGUCCACCAGCGGAAGCACGAAGCUCGGGACGCACACCCAAUCAAGCCGGAAGAGGGGGUCGAAAUGCGGGAUGGCAAAAAAAUCAAAGUCAGCGACCACGGAAACAGUAUUGUUUCUUCCAUGGAGAGGAGAAGGGUCACUCCACCAGAGAUUGCCCAGAUGCAAAAGAAACUCAGGAGAGGAUCAAGAGCAGGUCAACUCCACAACCUCCGAUACCAGUUGCUCAGCCUCGGGAAGUAAAUCACACAUUCCCUCAAACCUUCUACCAUUCAUAUGUCGGAGGUUCAAGCCAGCAGCACCCAGCUCCGCUUCAGCCCAGCGCACUAGCCUCCGCUUACUAUCCCAGUUUCCUACCAGCUUGGCGCCCAGCCCAGCAAACCGCGGACCACAAUCUUCCACCAAACUAUGUUCCUCCACGACCUCCACAUAUCACGUACAUCGAAACCCCGCAACCCCAGCAGUCACUACCUCCUCCCCCAAACCAGCUACAGCUACUCCAAGCCCCACCACCACCAAAAACCGAACCCCACCCUGAUAAUCAGAUCGGCCCUCAUACACCCCUGCCAACAAUUGGAAUGAUCUUACCAAUAGCUGGGGGGUCCUCAAUGGAGUUCCAGACAAAGAAACAGAAGAAGGAUCACCUCAGGCUCGUCAACAACGUUGCAGUUCAAGGGCCAGUGAGAUGCACUGAUUGGUCCAGAACCCCAAUAACCUUCACCGAGGAAGAUCUAAGAUUGGAAAGCUACCCUCACACAGACGCCUUGGUCAUAACAACAAAUGUUGCGGGUUGGGGAGUAAGCAGGAUAUUAGUAGAUUCAGGGAGUUCCGCAGACAUAAUAUUUGCUGGAACCUUCGACCAAAUGAAGCUCAGCAGAAGCCAACUCCAACCUGCGGAGUCACCUUUGAUCGGGUUCGGAGGAAAGCAGAUACAUGCUCUGGGAAAGGUCGCCUUGCCCGUAUCCUUCGGCACAACAGAGAACGCAAGAACAGAGUACGUCACCUUCGAUGUGGUAGACUUGCACUACCCAUAUAAUGCCAUAUUCGGGCGAGGAUUCUUGAACAAGUUCAAUGCGGCCGCUCAUAUGGGAUACCUGUGCAUGAAAAUCCCGGCUCUGCACGGAGUCAUAACGGUUCACGGAAGUCAAAAGGAGGCAAGGAACAUAGAGAAAGCAAUCUACAAGUCCUUCCGGAACAUAAACUCCGUAGACUCUACGCAGCAUGAAGCUUCCCAGCCGCCAGACAUGCCAAGGGGGAAAACAGACCUGGCUGAUCAGGAGGAAACGAAGUGUAUCCCUCUGCAGGAAGCUGUUCCAGAUAAGAAGGUCACCAUCUCCGCCACCCUUGGUAGAGAGGAGGAACUCGAAUUGCUAGACGUAUUGCAAAAGAACCAAGAUAUCUUCGCUUGGAGUGCCGCUGACCUACAAGGAGUCAGCAGAGACAUAAUAGAGCAUUCGCUGAACAUCGAUCCGAGAAUGAGGCCAAAGAAGCAAAGACAGAGGAAAAUGUCUGAAGAAAGAACCUUAGCCGCGAAGGCAGAGGUACAAAGACUCCUGGACGCAAAGGUCAUCAGAGAAGUCAUAUACCCGGAAUGGUUGGCAAAUGUGGUCUUGGUCCCCAAGAAAAAUGGCAAAAUGAGAAUGUGCAUAGACUUUACAGAUCUCAACAAGGCUUGUGUCAAAGACUCCUUCCCCUUGCCAAGGAUAGAUACCUCUGUGGACAAAGCAGCUGGUUGUCAGAGAUUCUCACUGCUGGACUGUUUCUCUGGUUACCACCAAAUUUGGCUCAAAAAAGAAGACGAAGGAAAGGCAAGCUUCACGACCCCAUUCGGCACGUAUUGCUACACCAGAAUGCCAGAAGGUCUCAAAAACGCUGGAGCAACCUUCUCCAGAAUGAUGGGGAAGGUUCUAGGAAGUCAGCUACAGAGGAACAUCAUAGCCUACGUCGACGAUGUUGUCGUCAUGAGCAAGCGCAAGGAAGAUCAUAUCAAGGACCUGCAGGAAACAUUCGUCAACCUUAGAUCUGCCGGGCUGAAACUCAACCCGGAGAAGUGUGUAUUUGGGGUCAGCAAGGGAAAAAUGCUAGGGUAUAUCAUCAGCUCCGAAGGAAUUAGAGCUAACCCAGACAAGACAAAAGCAAUCAUGUCAAUGGCAGAACCUUCAAACAAGAAAGAAGUCCAAAGACUGACCGGCCGAAUAGCAGCCCUCAACAGAUUCAUAUCAAGAUCGGCAGAACGGAGCCUCCCAUUCUUCAAAGUGCUGAGAGGAGAAGGUAAAACAGAAUGGGGUCCGGAACAAUCAGAGGCCUUCAGGCAGCUCAAGAAUUACAUUGCAACCAACCUGGUGGUAACAGUGCCCGAGCCAGACACUCCACUACUACUGUAUGUGGCUGCCUCCGAGCACGCUGUCAGCGGUGUUCUAGUGCACGAGACAAGCGACACUAAGGGAACGGUGCAAAGACCCGUUUACUACGAAUCCGAAGCUCUGUCAGGAGCAAAGCUGAACUACACAGAGAUAGAAAAAAUCGCGUACGCGGUCCUAUGUGCAUCGAGGAAGCUCAAGCAUUACUUCCAAAGCCAUGAAAUCAAAGUGCCCACAUCACAGCCAUUGGGUGAUAUCCUUAGGAACAAAGAGGCUUCCGGACGUAUAGGAAAAUGGGCGGCCGAACUAUCACAGUUCGAUAUCACCUAUGUCCCCAGAACCUCCAUCAAAUCCCAGGCCCUGGCUGACUUCAUGGCAGAUUGGACACCUUCGAACAAAAACGACGAGAAGGUAAUCAAUCAGCCGUGGACGCUGUAUACGGAUGGCGCCUGGGGUCAAGCGGGAGCAGGAGCGGCAGCCGUUCUAAUCGCACCAUCUGAACUCAAACUAAAGUUUGCUAUACGACUCGAAUUCAAAGCAACAAACAACAUAGCUGAGUAUGAAGGUCUCAUCCUCGGGCUGAACAAAGCUAAGGCUUCGGGAGCAAAGACACUACUCAUCAAAACAGACUCCCAAGUGGUGGCAGGGCAAGUGGAGAAGGAAUACCUAGCACACAACCCGGAGCUGGCAAGGUAUCUGGCCGUCGUAAGAGGCCUGGAGAGAAGGUUCAAGGGAUUCACUCUGCAGUACAUUCCAAGAGCCGAAAACUACGAGGCAGACGAGCUAGCGAAAGCAGCAGCCAACAACACCCCCUUGCCAGAAGGAACCUUCCACCAGAUUGUUGCAACACCCGCAACCGAAUCAUUGCCAAAAGCCUUUCGCUCAGUCCUGCUGACAGAAAACGAAGAUUGGAGGCAGGCAAUAGCCGAUUGCCUCAAAGGCGAGACAGCUGUAGAUGACGAAGCAACAGCCAAGAGGAUGGAGGCAAGAGCAAGGAAUUACACCUCCAUCGACGGGAUCCUGUACAAGAAAGGCGUAGUCCAACCUUUGCUAAGAUGCAUAUCACAAAGCGAGGGCAGGGAACUCCUACAAGAGAUACACUCAGGGAUGUGCGGGUCUCACAUUGGACCUCGAGCGUUGUCUGCUAAAGCACUAAGACAAGGCUUCUACUGGCCAACUCACAUUAAAGAUGCUGAAGAAAUAGUGAAGACAUGCAAAGCCUGCCAAACCUUCUCACCAAUUCAGUCAGGACCUUCAGCACUAACUCAGCUCAUACCAGCAUCAUGGCCGUUGCAGAGAUGGGGAAUGGACCUGGUAGGACCAAUGCCAACUGCCCAGGGGGGAAACAAAUUCGCAGUCGUGGCUAUCGAAUACUUCACAAGAUGGAUCGAAGCUAAGCCAAUGGCAACCAUAACCUCUGAAACAAUCAGGAAAUUUUUCUGGCAGAACAUAGUCUGCAGAUUCGGAGUUCCACGCUUGCUCACAGUUGACAACGGAAAGCAGUUUGAUUCAGACAGUUUCAAGGAAUUCUGCCAUCACAUAGGAACCAAAAUUGCUUUCGCAUCUGUGUAUCACCCAGAGUCAAACGGGGCCGUGGAGAGAGCAAACAGAACAAUAUUCUCUGCAAUCUCCAAGACCUUACUCAACCUACGCAAGGGGAAAUGGGUUGAAGAACUACCAAGAGUUGUAUGGUCACAUAACACAACAGUUUCAAGAACAACUGGGUUCACUCCAUUCAAGCUCUUGUAUGGGGAAGAGGCAAUGUUGCCCGAAGAAAUCAAACACCAAAGCCUGCGUUCCAUGAACCAGCAGUUGGCUGAAGACGAAGAGUACUGCAAGGAAACCUUAGAAUCAAUAAGACUUGAGGCAGUGGAGAACAUUACCAGGUAUCAACAAGAAACCAAGAAUUGGAGAGACCGCAAGGUAGUACGAAAAGACAUACAAAAUGGGGACCUGGUGCUCAGGAAAAAAGGAGGUCAUCCAAACGCUGGUAAAUUGCAACCCAAGUGGGAAGGACCUUAUACAGCAAUACAAGCGGGAAGGUCGGGAUCCUUCUACCUGAAAGACCCCGAAGGAAGAACCUCCACCCACACGUGGAACGUCGACAAUCUACGUAGAUUUUACAUUUGAGUGUAAGGAUGACCCCUGCAAAAUAAGCGGCGGCAUCCACAUCCGUAAAUACGCUUGUUUUCUUUUUCUCUACUUUUUCGCAUUCCAAGGUCUGCACUCUUUUCCUCACAGGGGUACUCCUACCAGGAGGUGAGGUUUUUAACGAGGCAGAACCUAUGUAAAAACCUCUGAAAUAUAAAGAGGAAUCCACCCCAGAACCGAAUCCCAAAAAGUCGAAAAACAGCCAGCAACGAGGCUGUAGCAUUCGACAAAACAUCACGUGAUCACAAGGACCCUCCGCAGCUUUCAUCCAAAAGAUAAGAAAGCUCGGAACGUCCUCAAAGGUGAAAGAACACCAAAUCCUUAGCAAAAGACCUAGCCAAGAGCCGGGCAGCAAGGAUAACAUGGCCAAAAAAGUGAAAAAGUCCUGUCCUCCUCAGGCAUCACAACAUGGCCAGAAGGAACAAAACCUUCAAACCUGACAAAGACCUGAGGAAAAUCAGGCAUCAGGAACUAUAUUAUUUUUGCCAAAAGGCAGCGGAGGUUUAACAUUCACAAGACAGACCUCAACAAAAUUCACAUAACCUUCACCAAAAAAAGGUCGAAGGUAUCCUGCUACUCUAAGCAGACCCCCAACAAACAAAGUGUGAAAUUAAAACGAAACUACAAUAACCCUCAACCAGGCACAGCAAAACCAACUACCACAACAACCAUCAAUAACCCGACAAUAAGUUUUAACCUAACUAAGUACAUAAAAUAAAUGCACGAAAGCCUAUAAAACCUGACUAAACCUGCCCCCCACCCUCAAUCAGGAUCAGCAUACAAAGACCCGAUCAUCGAGUGCAAACCUAGCAGUCAAAAAGCAAAAAUCCUAGGCCACCAUGGAAGCAGGAGUUAGCCUCACAACAGCAACAAAACUUUGUAUCGCACGAAGCUUCGUAAUACUAGAACUACGGCGUUGUGAUGAACAUCGACCACAAAGUCGUGUACAGCCACAACAGAAACAAUGGAAGUCAGACUCAGAGGUCUCUGAAGGGUAUCGCACGAAGUCUCGUAACAUCCCUUCAGAACCUCCGACUUAGACAGCCGAAGGUUCUCCUCGACAACACUCCACGGGAGUCGAGCAAAGGAAAAAAAUAGCACAAUUCAGCAAAGGAUCCUUCGCUCCAAAAAAGUCGAAGGUUCUAAGGCAAAGAAACGGCGAUCCUCCGCGCAAGAAAAAAUCAAAAACACCUUCGCAACAUCAAGCAUCAAGAACAAGCAAGCCACAGCAACACAAAGAUCCUUAGGAUCAACACCACCGUAACGUUGCAAUAUAUACAUGCUGUAGCGCGAAGGUUGUAAUAAAAAUGAGAUCAAAGGUUGUAGCAAACUUAAAAACUUUAUUAUCGAUGAAGAAAUCAUUACAAAAGUUCGUUUACAAAAAAAAAAUGGAUAAAAUCAUCCUUCGACCCAUAAAAAGUCGAAGGUUAUGGGUAGCUUGUACAAGUUCAACUUUCAAACCCUCCUUCAACUAAACAACCGAAGGAUCUAUGAGUCACGUACAAACUAUAGCGCGAAGGCUGUCAAAAUUAAAAGGUGCGAAGGCCAUGUGGUAAAAAUAUCUGAUCUUUAUUAACCAUAUACAAUGUACAUAACACAAGCUUACAACAAAAAAUGAAAAACAUCCUCCGACCGUAAAACGCCGAAGGUUCUAAGACCCUCGCACAAUUCUAACAUACGAAUCUGGAAAAAGCCUAAGAUCAUCACAGUAAUCACGUACAAGGAAAUCAACUAAGUCAUCUAUACUACGCGUAGGAUACUUGUGGCGCCACCAGUCAAUUAGAUAACCCCUCGCGUACAAAUCUCCACGCUUGAACGUCACCGGGGUAACGUAACUUCCUUCGACAAAGUUCGAAGGAAGAUCUUCCAACGGAGAGGAAUUCACAACCUGCGCGCAGAAAAUAACUUCAAAUCCAACAAAAACGAAGGAUAAAACUAAAAAGCCAAACGAAGCUUUCGAACCUCCGGAAAACCUUGAAGAAAAGGCUCAGCAACAUCCUCAGAAGCCUCCGCCACCCAGCGUACCCUAUCUCUCUCACCAAAGAUGCGAAGGAUAGGAUAUGGCAGCUACAUAAACACAUCAAAUCAUGUCAUAAAAAAUAUAACCAAAACCUACGAUAAACGAAAAGAAAAACAAAAUCAUCCACCUACGCCGGAGGCCAUGAACCUCGGCGCGCAAGCGACUGGAUAAAUCCAGAUCCUUCGCCAUCAAUAUCAUAUCCAACAAACUCGAACAUAUCCACCAAUCUCAUAUUAGGGAAGGCAACUUGCCAAUACUCCCACAAUUCACCAGAAACAUAAAUCCCUUUGUAAAAAAACGAAAGGGGAGUAAUGAAACGAUCCUGCGCAGGUCCUCCGCCAGAGACCUGCGCAGGAUCAAAGUGUAAAACAAAGGCUUAUCUGAAAACAACUCAAUAUAUUAUAUUUUCAACAGUCUUUACAAAAUAAAACACAACCUCCGACCUUACUUACAAAAAAGCGUCACAUGCUUGGACGCAAAAAAGACUAAGAAAAACCUAAAAACUAAAAAGCCUCACACCUGAGGCGGAGGAGGAGCAGGAGCCUCGGGAGUCUCUGAAACCUUGGCACCAGAUCCCUCCGGAGCUUUGGCACCAGUAUCACGAGCCUCCGCUUCAGGCUGGGUCGGAGGACACGCCUCACUCGGUGGACGCGAAGGACCGGCCUUGACAACCUUAGCCUUCUUCUUCGCAAUCUCCUACAAAAUACCCAUCUUAAUUAACAUUGCAAAGCAGCGAAGCAAAUUACAAAAAGAAAUAACCAAAUAAUACAAACCUCAGCUCGACGAUCCUCCGCCAUUUUCUUCGCCUCAUCCCGCCCAAACCUAAUCCAGAACGAACCGAUAAAGUUCCGGACAGAUUUGCGCAGGGAAGGGGUCCCUUCGCCAACGUCCUCCGCCGCGGCAAAUUCCUCCUUGGAGACUCCCUCCGCGUGAGAGCAACCUCCGCGGCGCAAAAGCCUAGCGAAGGAGCUAACCGCGGCCAAAGCCCCAAAAUCAACAGCACCUCCGACAAAGUCGGGGAGCAUGCGGAUAUGAGACUUCAGCCACGCGAGGGCAGCCCCAACAUCGCCGCCGGGCGGAGGAGCAGAGGUGCUUCCCCCAAACUUCGCAAGCGAGUCGGCAUAGAGCCCGACAAUAGCUGCAGCCUCCGCUUCCGCCUUCUGUAUGCGAGUCUGCAGCUCAGCUGCAGACGUCCGCUCAGCGUCAAGCUCUUUGCGAAGGCGUUCAGCAAUGUCCUCCGCCUUCUCAGCUCGCUGCAGGGCUACGUCCCUAACUCUCCCCGCCUCAGCAACACUUGUGCGGAGGACCGCCACCGAAGCUUCGGCAUGAUCUUUCUCCUUCCUUAGAGCCUCCGACCCAGCCUUGUAGUCAUCCCUCUCCUUUUUCAGGGAGUCAACCUCCCGCCUGACGGAGGAAAACUCCCUAACCUCCUCCGACAGACGAGCCUUCUCAGCCUCCAAGGUCUCGUUCUCCUUCUUCAGAACACCAAUUGCCUCAUCACGGCAGAUAACCUCCCGGGAGCAACGCUCCUCUAAGGCGGCAGCCAUGUGGUGACCCUGCUCAAAAAUAAAUAGUUACAACAAACCUCCGAGUGAAAAACCGCGAAGGAAGAUACAACAAAGCGCAAACUUACAAGGCUAUGGUGCUCAUAUUGCACGCGAAGGAGCGUGUCAAAGUCCAUGCCGCGAAGCUUCUGACGAAAACGAUCUGUAAACCAAAAACAAUUAAGAAAAACCAUCGUAAGAAACAAAAAACCAUUGGCGGAGGCCAGAACACUAACCUCCGACCAAGGAAUGAACCUCGCGCAAGGCAUCAGUCCAACCUGUGAUCGAAGGUUCAGAAGCACCUGCACAUAACAAAAACAAACCUUAGAAUAAAAUGCCAAAAACAAACCAAACUGUUGAACCAAAAAGAAGAAACUCACCAGGACCAAGAACAUCAGCAGGCGAGGGCCUGUUGGCCAACGCAGAAGGCGCAGGCUCACGCGGCGGAGGUACGGCAAGCCCUUCCUGCGCAACACUGGCGCCUUUGGCCAUCUCCUCCGCGGUAGCCAGCCCAGCAAAAACAUCCGCUGAAAGAUAAACCAAAAACAUGAGAACAAGUCAAUCAAAACUUACAUAAAAACAAAAUAAUCAACAAAAAAUCAUUACCCAUGUAUAACGAGUUAAUACCGUCACCAGCCGGACGAAGGGGAGCCUCCGCCCUCCUGAUCCUCCGAACGGAGGCAGACUCAGCUUCGUCGCUGGACUCCACCUGAACCUCCUUAGGCGGAGACCCUCCGCCAACCGAAGCAACGCGCGGACCCUCAGACGCUGCAGGAUUCGCCUCCCGCGCAGGGCUCGCCUCAGGGGCCUCCGCGUCGGAAGACUCCUCCCCAAGAAGAGACGCGAAAGGCGCGCGCGCAGAGGAGACCGCACGCGAAGCUUCAACUUCAGGAGCUCCACCAGCAGCAGCGGCCUCCGCAGGUGCAGAAGCUACCGAGUUCGACUCGGCACCAGAUGAGCGGGCGGAGGAAGACUCCACAGGAGUCUCUAGCACAACCUCCGCCCUCCGCUUCUUCGCAAGCUGCUUGACUGCGCCACCCCCUCUCCUCUUCUUCGACUCCGCCAAGGCGACAGCCUUCGAGGAGUCCUUCUUCUUCUCCAACCCAAGCAAAACAUCCGGAGGAAUAACAUAAUCCUCAUACUCGAUCCCCAAUUCCUCAAAAACGCGGUUGAACCGGGGCAUCGUCCCAAGCGCAGACCUCCGCUGGAGAUAUUCCUUCUCCGAGAUCUUCCCGACAAUCCUCCGGGCAGAAACCUCCACACGAUCAAGGAAGGACUCCUUGGUCUCAUCCUCCGGAAUACCAGCGCCGAACCGGGGAAACGGCAACCCCUCCGGGGGACCAAAAACAGGAACUUGCACCAUCUCAAUGGUGAACUCAUCGGUCCUGCGGCCAAGUGGCCAAUAGUCAGCAGCGACCAUCUCCUCAACCAAAUCCCGACCUCCGGAAUAUCGGCAUGCCAGCGCAAAUGCCUUAUCACAAGCAAGUCGCUCCUCCGACAUCUCCUGCGAAGGAUCAACCUUCGAGAAAGGCUUCAACUCCUUCAUCAGCGACGCGUAAGGAUAAACCUUAUCAACGCUGCCGUCAUCUAAAGUCUUCGACGCAGCGGGGGUCCUCACGUAGAACCAAGCUCUCAUCCAAUCCUUCUCCCACUUCCCCUUUUGGCAGUAGGAGAUCUCGCACCUUGGCCCAGGCAUUGUGCGGCGCGGCAUGAACGCGCAGCUUCCAAACUGCGCAAUGCACUCAACACCUUCGGCAUCCUUCACCUUUUUAGGCUGGCGCUGGAGCUCAAAGUACGAGCAGAAAGUGUCGAUGUGGGGCAUAGCUCCGUAGGAUUCGCACGCCCAGGCAAAUUUGCUAAGGGUCAGUAUCCCAUUAGGGCUGAAAUGCUGCAGCUCCACGUUGAAACUCUCCAUCACUUCGCGAAGGAAAUGAUACGGAGGCAUCCGAAGUCCGCAAGUAAAGAAGUCCCUAAAUACCACCGCAUACCCCUCUUCAGGCGCAGGCACCGUCUGACCCGCAGGAGGAGCCUCCGCACGACCUUCCUUGAAAAACCUAGCCUCAACCAUGUCAGCGAUAUCCUCCGCCCUCACAGUCGACUGCCCGAACUCAAAGGUAAUCGCCGCCAUCUCCUCAAACUCCUUCGCACUGAUCAAAUCACCGACAGAAGCUUCGACGUCAGACAACGUCUCCUCCAGAUCUUGAGCUGCAGCCACCUCAAGCAUCCACUCCUCAAACCUCCGCAGCCAACCUCCAGACCUCACGCUAAGGAAACCGCGCAAAGGACCAGAAAAAUCUGACCUCGAAGGACGCGGUGAAGGAAGCUGAGCCACCGUAAAACCUCCGACAACACUUUAGAACUAAACGCACGCGAGCAGCUCAGAGAGAAAGACGUAGCGAAGGAAGGUGUGCAGGCAAUGAGCAGCAGGGGUGAGAGCUCAAAGCUCCCCAGCAUCCCCUUUUAUAGGGGGGGGGCCUGCGACCGCGCGGCCGUUGCGAUUCCCCGCGCCCAACGGCUAUAAGCGGAGGAAUCGGCCAGACCGUUGCGCUUCGUCAAUGCCAACGGCUAACUCCAACGGCAAUAAAAUCCUCCGCAAUCCUCCGCAAUCUAACGCGCGUAGGAUACCAGACUAAUAUAGCAGCAAUGAUCGGAGGAUCCCGGCAAAAUAAAGAAACAAGAAAAAUUACGACUAAGUAAAAGAAACAGUUAUCCAACAUUUGCUAACAAACACAUCCUGCGCACCAGGGGGGAAGGCAGCAACCAUGCUCGUAACCUCCGCAGCGUAGCAUGUUUUUGAGCACAUGGACCGCAGGAGUGCCAUUAGCCCAAAAAGGGGGGAACUGUUGGGGAAAAGCUGCAUCCUUCCCCCCGGUAGCGCCGGAGGUUAUCCUUCACCUGGGGAACCUCCGACGCCUGGAACGUCGGAGGAUAUCCUUCGACGGGAAAUGCUAAUGUUGACGACUCGUCUGGUCGUGCAAAGUGUGUGCAGGGACUGAAGCACCGGCGGAGGUCCACGACUGAGGAAAGGUUGGAACCUCCGACCCUCCCGGGUCCGAGGAUAGCGGGAGAACGUAGCCAGGCCAAGGAGGAACUCCCGGGAUGGCCGGGUGAAGCAACCUCCGACCAGCCGGGCUGCGGAACCUCCGACACCAAAGCGUCGGAGGAUCCGCAACUGGGCGGAGGAUCCGAGCCUCCGACCUGCUGAGGCCCCAGUCAAAGGAUGAACGGAGGGUUCGCAAUGUGAAAUUACGCGAGUGUAUUGGGGUCAGUAGACUGCGAUGGAAGAAUAUGCUGGAAUAUUCCCCCACCGUCACGGGGCAUUUAUGUAAAUGUCGUUGGGUCGGUUUCCGGGCCCUAUAUAAGGGGCGUGAUGCUGCCAUUAAUAGUGAGAGAGCAUUCAUUGUAUUCACCUACUGUUGAGCCCACUGUCCGUUACUGCUCAAGCCUCUCACGGCACCGAGUGAGAAGGUCCUCGAUCUACUGUACUGCUGGGGCGUGCGAAAAGCACCUUCCCAACAAGUUGGUCAAUGAGAGGGGUGAAUUGAGUAAUGUACUCAUUGACAGAAGCAGUUUGGCGGAUUUGGAAAAGCUGUCUAAGCAAAAGUUCUUUCUCAUCCUGCCCAAAAUGCUCUAUAAUCAGACUGGUGAAAGUGGGCCAAGAACAGUUUUGUAAGGUGGAUUCAACGGAUGAAUACCAACGCUUAGCGUCAUCCGUGAAGUUCAUUUUAGCCACUCGAACCCACAGAUUUUGGUCAGUCCCAUAUAGCUCGAAAUAAUCUUUGCACUGACUAAGCCAAUACUUGGGUUGGGAACCAUCGAACUUAGGGAAAUCGAAUUUAGGUAACUUAGGACUCUGGAACCCAUUAUGACCCACACCAGUAGACCCGCUACGAAAACCAUGAUCAAUAGGAGGAGGCAUAGCAUGCGACAUGGGUGGUGGCAUAGAAGAAACGGAAGAAAGUCCAGAUGGAGGUGGAUUCAUACCCGUGACCGGGGAAUGAACUAGGGUGGAAACCACCCCAAAUCCACUCUCCUGAUUACUGUUGUCGACGCGGUGCCCGUUGGGCGAAGUGGCUGUAGCGCCCGCAGGGGGACGUUCAGCACCGGCAGGAGCAGCAGCGAAAACGCCCGGCGAUGUUGCCGGUUGGUCGAGGAUCGCGCGCUCCCAGUUGCGAGAAAUCUUCGAGAUCUCCAGCUUGCUCUUCGAGACCUCCAGCUUGAUGUCGUCGACGGUGCCUUGAAUGGAUGGACGCCACUCGUCCAAGGUAGUUGUGACGCGCUCCAGCUGCUCCAGGCGAGACGCCUGCGCCACCUCCAGAUCCCCGAUCUGGCGCGACAGACGGGCCUCCUGAUCCGCGAACCGCGAAUCCCACUUCGCAUCGUGUUCGUUGAAGCGCUUGGCGAGUUCAUCCAGGAUGAGGCGAGUCUCCGGAUUCAUCAUGCCCAGUCGAUGUUGACGACGGGUAAAGUGGUGGUGUGCGAGGGUGGGGGACGGAUCCAGAUCGAGGCACCCACAAACCGAUUCAAAGCGUGGAGUGGAAUUACAGCGUUCCAAUCGCUAUCAGCAGCUCACUGCUAGCGAUCGAAUCAAGCCAACCAGAUCCGUUGCCAAAUCGAUCGAUGGAAUGUGUGCGCUCAGAUCUGAAAGCAGACCCAAAAUCGGUGUCUCUGAUACCAAUUGUUAGCAGUAGGCAAGGGUUGGAGAAAUUGGGGAAGGGAAUUAAGACGAACAGCAAGCAAAGACGCAGAUAGAUCGGCGAAGAAACGAAGAUGAGUGCUUAGGCAGUUAGAAUUUGGUUUACAACUUUCUGAAUGCCUCUCUUCUCUCCCAAGCCAAGUCUUAUACGAUACAUGGGCAAAGCCCCGCCCGUGCACGCAGGCACGCUAAACCCAUUCUGGGCCGGCUAAACGGACGUUGGGCUUCCUCACGCGAACCCGAGUGCUUGGCCAUGGGCUUCUUCUCCUGUGGCCUCGUCAGGUGGAGAAGUGCUGACACCGAGCUUCCACGAGCAGGCCCGCGGGCUUUCGACGCAGAUCAGGGAGGUGGCGGCAGGUACAUGAUGUGCGUCACAGGGCUGCGGUAGCCCUGGCUGCCGUCCAUAUUUGUCUUCCGCCUAGGGUAGAGGUGCCCAAGGACGUUGACGUCGGAUAGUUGGUUGCCGAGUGCCGACCUUGGCGCUGCCGCCAAUGCCAUGCUGGGGUUGUUAGCGUGGAACAGGUAAGGACGCUCUUCGUCACUCGUCAGGGAUGAAUUCUGUCGAUCUGUUUUCUCUAUAAAAGGAUAUGUGAAUAAAAUUCUGAUUUGUGAGUUAGUAGUCUUCUGCAAACUUUCCCGUGUGCGCAAUUGUGCGUAGUAGUAACCACCUAACGCUCGGAUAGGUUAGUGUAAGGUAUCCGGGUGUUGAGACUUUGCCAAUCUUAAGGGGGUCCCAAUAAACGCAUUCAUCCGAGCGGAGUGAGUCGUUGUCGCGAGAUCAUUUUUAAACUGGGUACAAGUUUAAAAAUCCUGGGAUUACUCGCGUGCGAGUUUGUCUAGUGGAUAGGUUUUGGUAAUCCUGAGAUUACUUUGUUGGGUGUAACCGGAACUCUCUUCUCUUAAUGAAAAACGUGCGAAUGCACGAUCUCGAAAAAAAAACUGGGUACAAGUGUUGUAUCUAGUGUGCAGCCCCCCGAGUGUUUCGAAUUGAGUGUCGUUCAGGGCUUCAGGCUAGUGUAGCCAUACUCGAGAGGCGUUGCAGUCGCUUGUGGCUAUGCCAACAAUUUGAGUCACAGAUUUGGGUUUUUAGCCCCGAUCGAGUGCCUUGUUGAGUUGUUGUGUGUUAGUGUAACAUUGCAAGGUACCGAGAGGAAAAAAAACAAUUGUCAAAGGACAUUGCAUAUAAUCGGAACUUAGCCCCCGAGCGACCUGAGGAAGCAAACUCUAGGUCUCGGGAACACAAAGCUUUUAUUCAUAGCUACCUGAGACAUGCAUACCAUUGUUGAAAAGGAAAAAUCUUAUACUAUUACUAAUUAGAGGCCCCAAUGAAGAUACCAUGUUAAUUCUCAUCAAACGCACUAGGAACAAAAAUAAAUCAUAGAAAUUCUCACAAUGAUUAGAAGUGAAAUCUUACAGCGCUUGGAAGUAAUGUGAGCCCUCCAUUUUAUUCAUUCUGAUGGUUUAAAAAUAGAAAGAACCAAGUAAAAGGAACUUAAGUUGUGGGACGUAACCAGAAAUAUAUGGAUCCAGAACUGAUUUCUAAUUAAAUAUUAAGGGUACAACAACACUUUGUCUCCGGAGCUGCUUCUUCAUCCUAGCUUCUCCUCUCAUAUCCGUGUGUUCUUCCCAAGCAGAGACAAACAGCAGAGUCCUCGGCCCUUCGCACCCAGCCCCAGCCAUCAUCCCCACUUCCACUCUUUCUUCCUCGAAGCCGACGGCGCCUAGCUGCCCUUGCCGUGCAGAGCUUGCUCCGGCAGACAGCCACUGUUGAUGCUCCUCUGCCUCCUUAGAAAGCCUCGAUGAGCAUCCCCUGUGCCCAAUGCGACCUCCUCAUCUCCUAGCACUACCGCAGACAGCGCCUUUGCCUAGCGCCUGGUUAUUUGCCGAGCGCUAUUCAUCGGGCGCUCGGCAAAGGCCACCUUUGCCUAGCGCAGGGCCCUCGGCAACGACUGCCCUCGGCAAACGGAGACGCUCGGCAAAGAACGUCUUUGCCAAGCGCCAGGCGCUCGGCAAAGGCUCGCUCUCGGCAAAGGCUCGCUCUCGGCAAAGAACAUCUUUCCCAAGCGCCAAGCGCUCGUCAAAGGCUUGCACUCGGCAAAGAGAUAACACAUAUAACAUGGGGUACCUGCCGUCACCCUUUGCCGAGCGCCCUCCGUUAGGCGCUCGGCAAAGGCAUCUCUUUGCCUAGCGCUGAUUUUUGACGCUCGGCAAAGGCAUCUCUUUGCCUAGCGCUGACUUUUGGCGCUCGGUAAAGUUUUUUUUUUGAUUUUUGCUUUCAAACUUUUUUGUUUUGUAUUACACAUUAUUUAAUAGUAUAUGUUAAGGUUUUGGUAGUUUUUAAAAUCUUUUUAUUAUAGUUAUGAUGUCUAGGUUUCUAACUAACUUCCGUGACAACAUGCACAAAAUUUUACCAAAUUUUUACCAUAGCAUCCACAUGUGCUCCAAAGACGUGUCGCUAAGUUAUGUAAUUUUUGGACUUCAUUUGCAUUUUAUAUAAUUUAAUAGCACUCCACGCGCAACUUGGUCGCUGUGUUCCAUACGCGGGAUGUUCAAUAUUUCAUGCGUGCUCCUGGAUACGGCCUUAACAUACGCUAAGUAAAGCAAAUAUCAAUUUUUGAACCGUCGAAAUCGAAGAUUCGAUACAUCUAGUGUUCAAAACCGUGUUUAUCGCAGAAAUUCAGUUAAACCAAAUAAACUAACGAUAUAUAAUAAAAAGAUUUAAAAAACUACCAAAACUAAAACAUAUACUAUUAAAUAAUAUGUAAUGCAAAACAAAAAAGUUUGGAAGCAAAAAGCAUAAAAAAAAUCUUUGCCGAGCGCCAAAAGUCAGCGCUAGGCAAAGACGCUUUGCCGAGGGUUGCGCUAGGCAAAGUUGACCUCUUUGCCAAGCGUUGUUCGAGAGCCCUCGGCAAAAUUGUGUAAUGGCCAACUUCACCCCAACAAAAAAAAACAAACAGAAAAAAAUCAAUUUUUUUUUGAAAAGUCAAAAAAGUCUUUGCCUAGCGUUUCCGAUCUGGCGCUUGGCAAAGAAUACUUUGCCGAGCGCCAGAUCAGGGGCGCUCCGCAAAGGAGCCACCAGCCCUUUCCAUUACACACAAGCCAGCGCAAAAAAAUAAAAAAUCUCACACACUCCUCACUACCGCGCCGCCCCGUCCCGCCCACACCACGUGCCCGCGCCCUGCGCUGCCGCCCCGCCCUCAGCCGUUGCCGUGCCGGCCCCGACCCCGCCUCGGCCGCGCCGCCCGUCCCGGCCGCGUCCGCGCCGGCCCCGUCCUGGCCGCGCCCGCCCACGCCGACCCCGACCCCGCCUCGGCCGCGCCCGCGCUCGCGCCGCCCCGUCCCGGCCGCGCCCGCCCACGUCGGCCCCGCCACCGCCUCAGCCGCGCCCGCCCACGCCGGCCCCGACACCGCCUCGGCCGCGCCAGUGCCGGAGCCGGCGCCGACCCCGCCCCGUCCCGGCCACGCCCGCCCGCCCGCGCUGCCCCGACCCUGCCUCGGCCGCGCCCACGCCGUCCCGCCCCGGCCGCGCCCGCACCGGCCCUCCUCCGCCGCUGCUGCCCGACCACGCCCGCGCCGGCCCCGGUCACUCUCGCCCCUACCUCGGCCCCGACUGUCGACCGCAGCACGCGCCCGCCUCAUCCGCUGCGCAUCGCCCCGCGCCGGUGAUGUAUGUGCUUGUCAGCCAUCGUGUUGGUGAUGUAUUUGUGGUUGUCGGCCAUCGUGUCGUCUUUUUUUUGCAGGUUUGGUAACCUCCCCGUACAGGGGAGGUGCUGCCGAAAUUUUUUGUUCUCACUAAUUGUUUUUUUUUCAGGAGGGCUCCCGUUGGAGGAUAGCCGGAGGAGCACGACUCGGCACUGCCCCGCUAGCCUGUCUUCACCGGCACCUACGGUAUGACCCCUCUUUCCGUCACAUAUGGUCUUAUGUCGCGUUACCCAGUUAGGCGUCUCCCGUCCGAAACGGAUACGGUUGGAAGUAUGCGAGCUUUGCAUAUGUAUAACCGUAUCUGUUUCGGAUUGUCCACUUUUUUGGACAGCCCGUGGAUGCGUAGACGAGGUUAGUUUCCAUAGUCUGCUCUGAUCCGAGAUAGGGUUUCGGCCUCACCUCCGUGUUGUUUUCCGGAUACACACUCUCCUCGCCGGGAUGUGUAUCUUUAGAACAGCGGGGAGGUGCUGCCGAAAUUCUGUCUCAGCUCGGAGUAGCCCAUGGAAACUAACCUCGUCUACGCAUCCGCAGGUGGGAUUAGGACCUAUCCUUACCUAUUAGAUGGUAGGAACACGAAGUAGAUGCACUUGAUGUUUAUGUUCAUCUUUGAUAUUCAUGUUAGACGAUGGAUGACCGUGAGUGGAUGUAUGCGGGAUACACAAGUAAGCAUGAUUUCAGCAUUGAAUGGGGGCAGAAGACAGAGGCUUUCUUGGACCGUGCAUUUGGCAGUGGUGUGAAUAGAGCGCGAUUGGCGAAAUGUCCCUGUAGUAAGUGUGCAAAUAGGAAAUGGCAGAACCAGGAGACCAUGGCUAAACAUCUUCAGUUGAAUGGCUUUGUGUCGGGCUAUACCCGGUGGGUACACCAUGGUGAAGCGCAUCGGUUGAGAGAGGAGGUUGUGCGGCCUCGCCUCGAGCAUGUCGAUGAUGGUGGUGGGGUUGUAGACAUGUUAGAUGACUUCGCACAAGCACAGAUCCCCGAUGGACGGGCGGAGGAGGCAGAGGCAUCCGCAAAGGCGUUCUAUGACAUGAUGGCUUCGGCAUAGAAACCCCUUCAUGAUCGCACGACGGUUUGUCAGCUCGAUGCCGUUGGACGCGUGAUGGCGUUUAAGGCCGAGAUCAACAUGAGUCGGCAACACUUCAAUGGCAUGCUGGCCUUGAUUGCUAGCAUCCUUCCAGAGGGCCACGUGCUGCCAAAGAGCCUGUACGAGUGCCAGAAACUCCUUGAUGGACUCAAGAUGCCGAACGAGCAGAUACAUUGUUUUCCGAACGGGUGUGUCCUGUUCAGGAAAGAUCUUGAGCAGGAGAAGUACUGUCCGAAGUGCAAAGCCUCUCGGUACCUGGAGGUAGACUCUGGUGGCGGCCAGAAGGAGCAGCUUACCGUCCCGAUGAAAAUCCUACAGUACCUCCCUUUCUUGCCGAGGAUCCAACGGCUAUACAUGAGCAAGGAGCCUGCUAAGCAAAUGACAUGGCACAAACUAGGGAAACGAUACAAUCUCGAGAAAAUGGUGCAUCCGUUCGAUGGUUAAGCAUGGCAACACUUUGAUCGCAUCCAUCAUGAGAAAGCAUCAGAGGCACGUAAUGUACGCGUGGCAUUGGCAACAGAUGGGUUCAAUCCUUAUGGUAUGAUGGCUGCCCCGUACACGUGUUGGCCUGUGUUUGUCAUCCCACUCAACCUCCCCCCGGUGUCUCCUUUCAGUGUCUGAACGUAUUCUUGUCAUUGAUUAUUCCUGGACACCUGGGGAAGAAGAUGGGUGUCUUCAUGGAGCCUCUGAUUGAUGAACUGGUCAGUGCUUAGGAGGAUGGGGUGUGGACAUAUGAUCGAGCAACAAAGAGCGUCUUCAAAAUGCACGUUUGGUACCAGUACUCCAUGCAUGACUUCCUAGCGUAUGGGUUAUUCUCCGUUUGGUGUGUCCAUGGGAAGUUCCCAUGUCCAUUAUGCAAGGCUCAUCUGAGGUUCAUCUGGCUCAAGAAGGGUGGCGAGUAUUUGUCGUUCGACAAACAUCGUCAAUUUUUGCCCCUCGACAACGUAUUCAGGCGAGACACCAUAGGCUUUACGAAAGGUGUCGAAGUCACUGAACCUCCACCACAGAUGAUGACUCCUGCCGAGGUCCAUGCUCAGAUUGAUGCUCUCGUGGAGAAUGAACAAGGUGAUGGGUUCAUGGGAUAUAGCGAGGAACAUAUGUGGACUCAUAAGUUUGGCUUGACAAGACUCCCUUAUUUUGAUGACCUCCUCAUGCCACAUUACAUUGAUGUCAUACACAUCGAAAAGAAUGUCGCGGAGGCACUCUGGGCAACGCUCAUGAACACUGAAAAGUCAAAGGACAACCCUAAGGCUUGAUUGGAUCUCGCAGAGUUGUGCCAUAGACCACAUCAAGAGAUACAAGCUCCUAGUGGUGGUAGGACAUGGAAAAGGCCUAAGGCAGAUUUUGUCCUGGCCCCUAGACAAAGGAGGGAAGUACUCCAAUGGAUGAAGACGUUGAUGUUCCCCGAUGGGUAUGCAGCAAAUCUGAGGAGGGGAGUGAACUUAAGUAUUCUUCGAGUGAACGGGAUGAAGAGUCAUGACUACCACAUUUGGAUUGAGCGUCUUCUCCCGACGAUGGUUCGAGGCUUCGUCCCCGAGCCCAUAUAGACAGUGCUGGCAGAGUUGAGCUACUUCUUCUGCCAGCUCUGUGCCAAGGAGUUAUCUCGAUCCAUGAUUGAAGACUUGGAAAAAGUGGCACCUUGAAAGGUCCAAAUGGCUAGAGGGGGGUGAAUAGCCUAUUUAAAAUUUCUACAAACUUCACUAAGCAAGUUAGUAAAACAAAUGGCGAAGCAAUUCUAGCACUAGCUCAACUAAGCUAUGCAAGCCAUCUAUACAAACUAGUACAAGGCUAAACACUAAAGCACAACAACAAGAGAGGGCUAGAUACACUCCUAAACAAGAAGACUAAACUAAACAAGCUAGACAACUAGCAAGGUAUACAAAUAAGUAAAGGAGUGGAGAGUGAUUGUUAUACCAACGUUGUAGAGUAGAGAUAUAUCCAAUCAAUCACUCACAAUCACAAGAGAAUCCUCGGCAAGAGAUGACACAAGUUUUUUUACCAAGGUUCACUUGCUUCCCGGUAAGCUACUCCUCGUUGUGGUGAUACACCCACUUGAUGGAUCACGAGCUAAUUGGAAAUCCAAAGCCAAACCCUCAGCGGGUGCCGCACAUCCACUCACAAGAUGGGGAUCCUCCAAGCCACGAGCAAUCCACUAGAGUAACCAAUUUACGAUCUCCCGCGGGGAAGGCUCAAGAACCCCUCACAAAUCACUUGGUGAGGCUCGAAACAAUCUCCAAUCACGAGCUCAACACCACCGCUGCUCCAAGCCGUCUAGGGCGUCGGGAAACACCCAAGAGUAACAAGAAAUCCGCAGCAAACUCAAGAAUCAAGUGCCACUAAAUGCAACUCUCAAAGCAAUGCACUUGAAUCUCACUCAAUCUCACUAGGAUUAGCAAUCAAGCAAGGAGAUGAGUGGUGGGAGUGUUCUCUAGCUCAAUGUAUGCCUCAAGUAUACACAUGUCCAAGAGAGAACCCCCCAAAGCCGGCCACCAACUAUUUAUAAGCUCUCUCAAAGAACUAGCUGUUGGCCACUUUCAUUGGGCUGAAAUCGGGGGCACCAGACGCUACUAAGUGAGCACCGGACGCUCGACCCCCAGCGUCCGGUGCACUAGGGUUAGCUACGUGUCCGAUUAUAACGGUCACCUGCGGAUCACUGGACACUCUGCAGGUCCACACCGGACGCGUCCGGUGCACAUCGGACUCAUGCGCAGAGAGUUCCGCAAACCUACGGGUCACCGGACGCUAAGCACCGGUAGCGUCCGGUGCUCACCGGACCCAUGCGCAGAGAGGGUCGCAAAACGCCCGUUCACCGGACGCUAACCACCGGACGCUCUCAGAGCACGUCCGGUGCUCCACCCUAGCAGGGUCAAGCACACCGGACUCCGAGGCCAGCGUCCGGUGCCUCAGCACUCAGCGUCCGGUGAGUGUUUCUUAGUGAGAAAACACUCCCGCGACUUCUCCAAAAUUCCCAUCGGCGCAAUAGAAAAUAUACACGUAUUUUUCUCAAAAGCGCCGAAUCCCGCCUCGCAAGCUCGGCGGGAGGGAGAGAGGAACCCAAACCCCUCUCAACCCUAGGAACUCCACCUCCUUUGCAAAUGUGCUAACACCAACAAGUGUCCACCACCAAAGUGCAUGUGUGUUAGCUUUUCACAAACAUUUACCCAAAGGAGUUAGGUUAGCACUUUACUAGAUCCUAAUGCAUAUGCUCAAGAUGUAGACCUAGUAGCACUUGAUUCGAGAGAUAACCGUGAUUUCCCCUCUUGAUAGUCGGCUAUCUAUCCUAAACCCGGUCAAUCACUUCUCUACUCAUCUUAGACCGGCAAAAGUAAAACCCUAUGUUUAUACCUUUGCCUUGAUAACUUUGCUCCUCGUCUAUCAUUAUGAUCUCCACAUCAAGCUUCAUCUCUUUGUAGUCAUGUGGCCACCUCUCCAUGCCACCAUGCACCUUCAUCACAUGUGUUGCUAUGCCUAACUCAAAUCACUUAAACACAAGGCAUUAGCAACUUGGUGUCACUAAUUACCAAAACCAAACUUGGGCUUUCAAUCUCCCCCUUUUUGGUAAUUGAUGACAACCAUCACAAAGAUAUGAAAUGAAAUCAUAAUGAACUUGAAUUGCUUGUCCAAAGCAUUUUAAUCAUGAGACAAGGUUGGACAAUCAUUUCAAUUUCGGUUUUGGUAGUACUAGCUCCCCCUACAUAUGUGCUUCCAUGAGUUUGGUUCAAAUUUGCACAUAUGCAUGAAUUGGAUUUUUGGGAGAUUUAUUACUACCCAAAUGAUGCUAAGGUAUAUAACAUGGACCUUUGAAGCGUGAUACCAAUCGGAGUUGCCAAUAUACCAUCCUUAGCACCAAUGUAGCUAGACAUACAUCAAGAAAACUCAAGAUACCUCGUGAGAUCACAUUAUAUGUCUAGAUACCACAUAAAAAUAAAACUCUAUGCUAGAAUUCAAAGCAUCAUUCAAGUUCUAUUUCUAGAAAGCAUCAAUCAAACAAGAAUAGUAUAUUUAAACUUGCAAUGCAACACAACAUUGUGAUAUAGACUUUAUCGCCGAAUAAGUGAUGCUAUUAUGAGAUAUAUGUGCUAUUGUGAUAUAUAUGGUGCCGGUGGUGAUAAAAUUGAUGGAAUUGUGAUAUAAAUGAUGCUACUUGUGUUCAUGGUGAUAUCAAUGUGCUAUUUGUUGUGUUCGCAUUGAAAGAAAGCAAAAAAUAAAAACUGGAUUCCAGCUUUGCCUAGCGCUGCACUAGGCAAAGAGCCUUUGCCGAGCGCGGCGCUCGGCAAAGCUGGAAUAUUUGGCGCAGGAAAACAGCAACCUACCCAGCUUUGCCGAGUGUUGUUGGAGGUGCUCGGCAAAAAUUUUUUUUAAAAAAACAAAUUUUCCUCUUUGCCGAGCGCGUUGUUGGAGGCGCUCGGCAAAGAAUUUUUUUUAAAAAAAAAAUUAGUUUCCUCUUUGCCGAGCGUUGUCUUGUAGGCGCUCGGCAAAAAAAUUUUCAAAAAAAAUGUUUUGCUCUUUGCCGAGCGCAGAGUGGAGACGCUCGGUAAAGAAGGUGUCACGGUGCAUAACGGUCAUGCCCGUCACUUUUUUUUGCCGAAGGCCCUUGUGGCGCUCGGUAAAGGCUUUGCCGAGCGCCCGACAAAAGACGCUCGGCAAAAGAGCCUUUGCCGAGUGUUUCUUUACCGGGAGCUCUUUGCCGAGCGCCACGCUCGGCAAAAGCCUUUGUCGAGCGCAAAUCGCUCUUUGCCGAGCGUCCCAGGCGCUCGGCAAAGCCGCGGUCUGCAGUAGUGUAGUAAUCAGGCCGUACGUCGCGAUUUGGUGCCGGCACCCAGCUUCGGCAAACAUGAGGAACUAGACAUGGUCGAGCAGAGCGCUGCGCGGCAUCGACACAAGCAGGUGGUCGGCCGUGGCACCGGCGCAGGCCGCGUACAGCCGCGCGGAGCCAAAAGGCAACGGAGUUACCAUGUGCCAUAAAAAAUACUAAACUAUACCCUUAGCUACUUUUCGAAAUCUCAAUAAUUUUCAGAGGAACCACCGGUUCCUCCCAAGCACUGUGACAAUGCUCUAGUUAAAAACAUCUGACGUUUACUUUGGUAGACUCUAAUCAUCAUUUAUGAUAAUAGCUAUUGGAAUUUAUAAAAAUAAUUACCAACCUUUGCCAUUAUGAAAAAUACUUAAAGUAACCCUCUAAUUGCGCAUAUAAAUUAUCCACCUCUGCAUUUAAUAAUCUGACAAAAAUCCUUCAAACAAAUAUCCCCUACCAAGUCAAGUUUGAAUUUGGUUGCGUACAUCUUUGAAUGUAGAGACCGGAUAUUGUUUAUCCUUUACCUAAAAAGUUUGGAUGACAGGUAGGAAGUCCGAGAACUCGACUCGAUGAAGAAACCGAUCCAUCAGUCGGGCGCAACCAUGAGCUGCCCGCCGGGUAUGUAUGGACUCCCCUGACUAUCUUAAUUAUUAACUAGCCGUGGUCGGCCUUACGAGACUGUUAAUGUUUUAAACAUUUGUGUACUAUAACAAUUUUGGUGUGUUUUCUCAUAUGUGGAUGAAGCACGAUAUUUUCUUCCAAUAUCCAAAAAAAAUAUGAAAUGAUAGGAACAAACGUAUCCACUCUUAGGAACAUCUUUGUUGACACGAUUAUAGUAACCUUAUCGGCCUUUGUUAGCAAAUUUGCGCCACAUAACAUCAAUUCUACAGCAGCUAUUUUUUUUUUCGAGACCACGCCGAGCGGCGCGUUUUUCAAUUCUACAGCAGCUAUUCAUCUGCAAAGUACUAGCACGUGCAUUUUGUUUUAAUUUUCUACAUAAUUUUGUUCCUGUGUCUGAAUCAUCCAUGAUGAUAAUUAAUAAUGUCCAUAUACUGUCUAGAAGAUCAGUUGCAUUGCAUGCUAAUAUGCAUUACUUUGUUCCCAUGAUGUUCCAAAAUUCAAUCCUGUAUAAUGGUCUAAAAAGUAAUAAUAUCUAGUACUUGUGUGGAAAAGGACUGACACGCUUCUUCCUCUGACCUGUCGUCCACGGCGGUCCACCCCUCUAGAUUCGAUCAUACGUACUUGCACACGUAAGUCACUAGUUUCUUUCAGUGCAACCCGAUUAUUAUAUUCAUUCUCUAGACAAGAAACAAAGCAUAGGGACGAACGUUUCUUCUCUUAGUCUUAGCAACAUCUUUCUAGCUAGCAGGACACUUGACACAUGCAACCAGCAAUUUCUACCUAGCUUCGGCCGGUGUUUGGCGUGGUUCAUCUUACUAUUGCACAAGCCAACCGAACGUGCCCGCCAAGAAAACGAUAGCCUACCACCACUACUUAUAUCGCACUCGCUCUCUCACGAAGCACACACUGCACAACUGUGGCCUUGUGGUUGUCACACAGCAAAUAACUCGAAAGGAAACAAUGGACGGCGACGUUGUAGCAGCUGCAGCAGCUUUGCCAUCACCGUGGAGCUUGCUCCAGGGGCUCCUUGCCCUGCUGAUCGCGUGGGGCAGCUACCAGGCCGCGGAGACAUUCUGGCUGCGGCCCCGGCGGCUCAACCGGGCGCUCCGGGCACAGGGGCUCAGCGGCACUGAGUACCUCUUCCCAGCCGGCGACCUCAAGGAGAAUGACAGGCUCAACGACGAGGCACGAUCGAGGUCUAUGCCGUUGUCCCAUGACAUAGUUCCCCGUGUGAUGCCGCAUCUCUUCAACACCGUUAAGGAGCACGGUAUGUGGAAAGCAAACACACGUUCAUUUCUUUCUCUCUCACUGAACUCACUCGCUUUGCGCACUCCUCUGCCUUACAUACUUACCCACCUCUUACCUCACCCCCGCAUAUGCGCAAACCCACCCUCCCCUAAACCUAGGUUGCAAACGACCACUCUACAGCUAAGGUCUAGGCAUUUGGUAUUACCGAACCAUGGUUCAGUACUUCAGUUCCCAUAGAAAUUCAGUUUCUCAAAAAAUAGGCACCGAUCAGUUUGUUCCAAGAUUUAGUACCCAAUGAAAUCGGUUUUGGUAUUUUUGGUUUGGUUUCAGUAUUUAUCCAAAACUACGGAACUGUGUGAACACAGAGACAUGUAAUAGCAGGUAUAAAAGCUAAAUUUGCAAGGAUUUUGAAGACAAUAAAAGUGCAAAAUGCAUACACAUGAAAGUCCACAAGACUAUAAGAGCAGAGUACUACAAAUACAUAAUAUAAUAGUUUUUAAUAGUACAAUUAAUAAUAUUAUAAUAUUUAAACUCAGCAUAUUUCGCGUAGUUUGGCCAGUCCAGGCUUGACUUGAUUCGGACUGUUUUGGACUUGUAUCGCCCCCUUCACCAUAUUCACGUUUAAGUAAACAAAAUUCACAUAGUCCUUUGUAAUGCUCAUUUCCCUAAAUUUGUCCGUUCCAAUAAACUAGAAAGUUACCUAAUUUUAAAGAUUGAAUUGAAGGUUCUGUAGAUUUAACGGCACAUGCAAAUGUUGAACUGCAGGCAACAUUUCUAUCACCUGGUUCGGACCAAUUCCUAGGGUGAUAAUCACGGAGGCAGAGUUAAUAAGGGAUGUCCUAUCAAACAAGUCUGGCCACUUCGAGAAGUUCAUCUCGAACAAGCGUCUUAUAAAAAUGCUCGCCCUUGGGAUUGCGAGUCACGACGGUGAGAAAUGGGCAAAACACAGAAGGAUUCUGAACCCCGCAUUCCAUCUCGAAAAGCUCAAGGUUCUCUGACUUCCUUCACACUGCAAAUCAGCCUCAGUUACGAUAUGUACGGCCUCAAGCAUAUAGAUAUGUGUGCUUACUAAAUUUAUUUUUUUAGCGCAUGCUGCCGGCGUUCUCGACGUGCUCUACCGAGCUUAUAGAUCGCUGGGAGAACAAGCUCGCUUGUUCCGACGGAUCAUAUGAACUGGAUAUCUGGCCGGAGUUUCAGAACCUCACUGGAGACGUGAUCUCCCGUACGGCAUUUGGCAGCAGCUUCAUGGAAGGGCGAAGGAUCUUCCAACUUCAGGGCGAGCAAGCAGAGCGA